rnacentral:lncRNA from 1 species
AUAUAUAUAUAUAUAUAUAUAUAUAUAACAAUCCAUUUUAUUAAGGAGGAUAGUAAUUAAUAGUUGAAUAAUAUUUGUGAUGGACCAACCGUCCCUAGCGCAAGUGGCAAAAGGGCUUGGUGGUUGGUAUCCGAGAUCUAAGUUUGAAUCCCAAUUGAUUCACAUUUCUAGCUAAAUUUAUUUCUAAAUGAAAUAAACGAAACGGAUAGCAUGCUAUCUAUUUCUCAAAGAAAAAAUAAUGUUUGUGAUGGCACAUAUCAUCGUUUUACAAGAAAAUUAAGAGCUACUUUUUUUUCCUGUGUGUGUGGGGUAACGGUCCGGGACCAAAGCGUCAUCUAUGUUACAGUUUUAGGGCUAAAAUAUUCAAAUGACAAAAAAUGUAGGGACCGAAUAAAGAAAGAAGUCUAUUGUGUCACACUUAGAGACCGAGAAAAGAAAGAAGUCUAUUGUGUCACACUUACAUCACAUUAUUAUUAUUUAUUUAUUUAUUUAUUAUUAUUUUUUUUUUGAGAAAUAGAUAGCGUACUACCUGCUAAUUCGUUUUAUUUCAUUUAGAAAUAAACUUAGCUAGAAAUGUGAAUCAAUUAGGAUUCGAACUUGGGUCUCGGAUACCAACCACCAAGUCUUUUUUCCACUUGCUCUAGAGAUGGUCGGUCUUACAUCACAUUAUUAAUAGCAAGUUAAUCACAUUUCUCUUCUUAAAAAAAAAAAUACAAUAAAAUUUUUUUUUUUAUUAACUAUGAGGGAACAGAUUAAUCUAAGAGAUGGAGACACCACGUCACCAAUAAAAUUUUUUAUAUUCUAGAUUCUUUUCCUAGUAAAGAGAUAGGUCAGAUAGGUCAGGGAAUAGUUACUCGUACAUUUUACCCAAAGACAUGCGAAGUGCGAGCAUGUUGUGUGCAUUGUUAGUACUCUAGUAGCCAAUGCUAUAUAUCAACCGUAGAUCAGAUGCAUGCAACUAAUGUGAAGCGCUUCCAAAAAGCAGCAGCAAGUCAUUACAGAAGCUUAAUUAAUAGGGGAGAAAAAAACAAAAAAAAAAAUUGCACCAAUAGUAAUAUGACACCUGGAGCAAAUCCAGUCACCGGACUUCCAUCCUGCACGGCGCCCUGCCCCGCCGCCGAAACCAAAUCCCUGCCCGCUGCCGCUGCCGCUGCCACUGCUGCUGCCUCCAACUGCAAAGUUGUCCUUGAAUGCGUUGCACCGGAAGCAGCUCAACCGGCUCGCAAAGUUGUGGGCCCCACAGGAGCAGUACCAGUCGCCGGGCCGGAUGUCCGCGCCCGUGCUGAAUCCGAAGGCACCGCCGCUGCGGGGGCGGGGUUCCCCACAGCGCUGGCAGGAGUCGCGGCGGCUGAAGUUGAGGUGGUGGCAGGAUCUGCAAUCCCAGUCUCCCCGCUUCCUAUUCAUCUUAAUUCGAUCACAACCGGACCUGUCAAUAAAUAAAUGCUGGAGAUCAAUCCAUUAUAAGAUUGAUUAUAUAUAAUUAGUUUAAGUAAUAGAGAGAGAAGUAGAACUUACAAAAAGAUGAGAGAGGGGCGGAUGAGAUGAUGAGUCGAUUAGUUGUGAGUUUCGGAGUGCAACAACUUGGGUGUGGGUGUUGUGCUGGUGUGUACUAUGUGUGGUAGCUUUUAUAGUUGUGUGGGCCUCAAAAAUAAUUGAGAACUCAAAAUUGGGCACUGUGGAAUGUAGCAUGACUAUUCUUUUACACCGGCAAAACUCGGAACAAUAAACUAAAAACUAAAGAAGGCAAAGAAGAGAAGGCUCAUAUCAAGGACAACAAAAAGUUACGAUCGAAUACAUAUGGGUGAAUAAUUAGUAAUUGGUAACAUCUUUUAUGACGUGCAUGGAUAGAAGAGAUCUGUGAGUACGUACACAUGCAUGCAUGUGGUUGCAUUAUUGCACAUUGAAAUAUGUAGAAGAAACUUCACAUUUCCAUUCAAUUAAUUCUAGCGUUAAUGUUAUGGCUCAUAUUUACAAGUGUCCUCAGGUCGUCGAAAGUGUACGCGGGCACAUGCGACAAGAACUAUAAAUUAAUACUUCUCAUAAAUAUCGUGGAUCAUGCCGGUAAUGCUUUUGAAUUAUUAUUGUUCAUCUGUGAGCUCCAAUUGUUCAUUUGAACACUUGGAUUCAACAAACAUAGUUCGAUAAUCGGAAUAUGAUAUAUAGCCAUGUAUUUCUCUGUCAACAGGAGCAAGUCUUGAUAACUAUUGAGUAAUUUGAAGCUGAGAGAUUCUUCAAUAUUUUAGCGACUAAGAAUGACAGGAAGAGAACAAGCCUAGCUAAAUACGAAAGAAAAAUAAAUUAUAGCCAAAACAAAAUUCAGAUAGAGCUCUUAAUGGCUCGAACCUGCGGACCAGUACAAAGUCAAAUCACCACCUGCUAAUCUAUGCGAAAUUGCAACCAAAAAUCUCGAAAAGUAUCCGCUGGAGAGGAUUUGAAGAGGUUAGAUUAACAGAAGGACGAACCGCAUCUAAGCCAUAAUUUCCAUACAUGGAAACUUAGUGAAAAGUGAAACAAAUAUGCCUGACACAAACCACUUCAAUCAAACAGAUCUGAGCAAACAACUCUUUGUUCCGUCUACAUCAUUGUGGAAAUUAUGUUCCAAUAAGAAGUAAAGAUAAGCUCAAAUUAAAGGAGACUAGCAAGUUCGAUAAGCAUGAAAUACUGUAGUGAUUCAUGUAGGCCUUUAUCUGGAGAACAUUUUGAAGAGAUUGAGAAGUAUUCAUUUAAUAAUAGUUCUCCAGCAGUAAAUUAGAAUUGUUGUGAAGAAGGUAAAGUAAAAUAACGGCAGGCAAUAGAAGCAGUGAUUUUCGACCAUAGUGUUGACCAUCUUUUCCUUUUGUUUCUAUUCAAUCCUUACUCUGAACCUUAUGUUUUUAUUUGAGUGGUUUUUGCUUUUGCUUUUGAUACUUUCUUUUACUCUCUUCUUAGUGACUCUAAGUCCGGAUGUAUAGGAAGAUGACAUAUGCCUUUACCCCUUUCGCUCGGGUGCUGUUAAAGGUUAGUUGUAGACUGUGAAGUGAAAGCUGCGAAAAGAGACGGUGAACUGUUUAGAACUAUAGAUUCCGCUCCUAGGGAAACGGUUCCAUGCAGUUGUGUGAUUCUCACUUAAACCUUAGUGAAUAAUACGAUCAAAUUCAAUAAAAAUCUCUGCCGGUAAUCAAAAGCAUUUACUAACACCACCAUGUCUUCAAAGAGAUUAGAACUGAUGUAAUCUGUCAAUAAUGCUAUUGGACAAAUAAAGACAGAAGUUGAGUUGAGUUCAGCUGGAUUUUAGAUCAAUCCCACUUAAUGCAGGUUGGGAUUUUUCAACUAUAGCCCCAUCAUAUUUCAAAAUUGAACUACCCAAAUUGUUGUAUUGAUUGGUUCAGGUGGUCCAGACCCUAAAUCGGGGAUCUAUUAAUGCGUCUGAAAUCUAAUAUGUUCAUCCACCUUGACUAUUGAUCAGUUGAAGAUCUUAGAAGUCAUCCCAUUGUUUUUCACUAUUUCGCAUCUACCUUGAGUUCCAUGCAUAAAAUUAGCAAAGCUGAAGGAAGCAUCCAAGAAGUUCAAAUAAUGUCCAAAAUGCCAGUUAUAGAACGGAAAAACCAGUCUAAACACUCUAGGUAGGGAAGAAGGAAAAAAAAAAAACAGAUUCUAUAUCUGGAAAAUAUGAUAAAUGCAAGGUAGCUAAUGUGCCAGUUUAAUUGCUAUAAGAAAUCAGCAAUAUUACUUGAAAUUAGAGAAUAGAAUCAUCAACUACAUGACAUUUCUAGCCAUUUGUCAUUCGACUGGUUCAAAAAGGACUGAAAACUGAAACCAGGUCCAAAUUUUAUUCGUCUCACUACAUCCAUGUAGCGCAUAAUUAUUGAAAUCAGAUAUACAAAUAUCAGGAAAAAUACCAAAUUAGCCAGCAGUAUCAUAGGACAAUGGAUAUACCACAAGUAAUGGAAAUUUUGCACAGCUCAAUCAGUUUGGGUGCCGAUUAAAGGCUACAUAUACACGAACUGGUAACUGGGAGAUCAGGCAUACUUGGUGGACAAUUCAACAACACAGUAGGCAAUAUAAGAUCAUAACUUGACCAGAUGAUUGGUUGAGAAGAUAUCAGUUAGUAUUAACCUAAUUGUAGAGUUUGGUGUAGAUCAGAAGAAACUUGCAGCGGACUCUUUGAGCUUACAGCUUCCACUAACAACUCUCAGCAGUCUAUAUCUUAAAAGAUUGGUAUCAAGGUUCUGCGAAAAAAGCUAGCAUUUGGAAUACAGAAGAAAAAAGAAAAAAAGGAUGCUGGACCAUAGAGUUUUCUAAAUUGACUGAAGGAUCGCAAAAAGGGUGAGUCAGUGGACAAAUAUGUACGUUAAUGGCAAAUAGAUGCAAUGAAGAAAAUUACAUUCUGCAGUGAAUAUAGGGGAAAUCCUAGAAUUAAGUCGCAUACCGUGAAAAACAAGUUACUUAAAGAAAACAUCAAUAACUGCGCACAAACAGAUAAAUCUCAGAUCUGUGUAAUGUAACAGGAUCUACAAAAUUCUGCAAAUGCUAGGCUGGAUUGGCAUUUGCAUAUCAAAAGGAUUAUACAAUGAAGAUAGGACAAAAAGAUUUAAGUUGUGCACUGCACAGUAAAAAUACGACCAACGACUUUACAGUGCACUAAAAUUUAUAAGAUAAAGCUAUUAAAGCAUGUAUAUUUAGCUGGCAAUAUAUCCAAUCAUAACAGGCUGAAUUAGCAUAGAAGGUUGAACAGUUCUACAGAUUGCUAUUUUCCUUUUCUUUCCUGUUCUUACAAUUUUCUGCCCCGCAGAACAAAACAAGCGUGCCCUGAAGAAUGUUUUCAUCUUAUGCUCUACAAUUUUGUGCUUACUCAUCUACCGUGCGUCCUCCAAUCUUUUGUUCGAAAAUUGACACCUACUUUCUGGUGCUUAGUAAAGUUUGCAUCUUGAUGACAAUUCCUGACAAGGCACAUACUGUAAGCAUACUGUACCCAAACUGCUCCAAGAGAUCUGACGCGUAUAAGUGAUCCGUAAUCAAUCACUAAUCAUCCAGUUUGAUAUUAUUCAGAGUAAGAGAUUCACUUGUUACUAACUAGUUGAUGCAAUACAAAAGGUAAGAGUAAUCUUUUGUGAAUGAAAGACUAAUUAUACAGAGGAUAUGCAGAGCCUGAGUUAUUGCAAACCCUAAGCGAAAUGGAACGGAAACAAGAAAGAGGGAGAGGGAUGGGGGAAGGAAAGCCCUUACUCCUUACUCAGCUGCUCGUGUCUCCGCCUCUGGAUUCGGAUAGCCUCUGCAGGCCCUGCCGAGCCGAUUCCAAGGAGGGGUCGAUCCGGACGGCGGAGUCGAAGGCGCUCCGUGCGGCCUCGGGGGAUCCCUUGUGCUCGUAGCACUCGCCGAGGAGGGCGAAGGCCUUGGCGUUGUCGGGGCUGAGACGCACGGCGUCGAGGAGGUCGGCGAGGGCGGCGUCGAGGCGGCGGCGGCGGUUGAGGGCGAGGUGGAUCUCGGCGCGCUUGAAGAGGGCGUCGCCGCGGUCGCGGGGGGAGAGGGACUUGGCGGCGGGCGGGGUGAGGGCGGCGUCGAGGGAUCGGAGCGCGGGGAGGCGGUGGCCGAGGAGGUCGAGGGCGAGGGCCUUGAGGAUGUGGGGGGCGGCGUCGCGGGGGUCGAGGGCGGCGGCGAGGUCGGCCUCGGCGAUGGCGGAGCGGGCGAGGGCGGAGGCGGAGGCGGAGGAAGGGGAGGAGGAGGAGCGGGCGCGGGCGAGGAGCUGGGCGCCCUGGAAGAAGUGGCGGCUGGACUGGGCGGAGGAGUUGGAGCGGCGGCGGAGGCCGGAGAGGGCGCGGCGGGGGACGGAGUGGAGGCCCAGGAACAUGGCCAGGGCGAGGAAGAGGACCGCGCCUUGAAUCGCCAUCGCCGCCCAAUCCCCGCCCAUCUUCCGCCCUCCACUGCCUCCCAACUUACCACUGGUGACUGGUUCAAGUCGCCGAUGCCCCCAUGGUACCACCUUAACAGCUCCGCCGCCGACUUCCUGGACAGGGCAACUUGUGCUGUGGGCCUGAUUUGGGCCUCUGUCCCGCCAUUAAGAUCGAGCGUCCUCUCUGGCCCGGUCGAUUGGCGUGUGGUGGCGGGCCAUUAGUCAAAAUUGUGAAAAGUAAUUUUUUACCGUAUUAAUUUGAACUAAAAUAUGUUUAAUUUAAAAUUUUAAAAUUUAGAUUCCAUGGGCUAUGCACGCUUGUGGGCCUCAGUGUGUACGCACUCCGAGAAGCCCAAUAAGCAAUGUUGCAGAUUCCCGCCUCUGCUCUCAUUUUAAUUCCCUCUCUCCUUUGUUUUGUUUUUUUUUUUUUUUUUUUGUCCUCCAUUUUCUCGCUUCCCACUGUCGCACUCCCAUUGAGGGCGUAACUAAAAAUAAAAACACAUUAAAAAAAGAAGAAGAAGAAGAAGAAGAGAAAUAAGGAAACUGAGAGCAGAAAAGCGCGAUGAGUGUGAGGACGACGUAUGCUCCUCAGAGGCUGGGGCGUCCCUGUUGCUCUCGGAGGGGCUAGGUUUAGGUCUAGGUUAGUGUUAGGGUUUCCGAGCCAUUCCAAUGGAUUCCCCCGACGCCGUCGCCAAGCCCUCCUCCGCCGCCGCCGCCGCCGAAUCGCCGCAGGUUAAGGUGCCGCUUCGAUCUUUCCAUCUCCAAUCCGUCCCUCUUUCUUCGAUUCUUCAACCCGUUGUUCACCAGAUCUUUCCCUUUUUUUGCUGAUUUAAUGAUGCCAUUUCACUUCUCCCAGCGAUCUACUUCUGAUCGAUGCUGCUGCAGCUCUCUAAUGCUCUCUUCCAUUUUUUAUUUUUAUUUUUAUUUUUUAAUUUUGCCCGAUUUUGGUUUUCUGUUGGAUGCUUAUUGUGAGAUCGUGAAUUUUCUUUAGAUGUUGUAUCUCCAUUUAUUUAUGUGUGAAUAUUUUUUACUACUUGUGAACAAAGUUGGGGAUUUUUGGUCGGUGGUGAACUAAUUUCCUGAGAGCUCUGAGAUUGAACUCGAGGGGUUUUUCGCAGGCCUAUUGUUUCCAAGUAAAAGGUAUUGGAAUUAUUUUACAUUCAUGGCUGCUGCUGCUUGCGAAUCCCUUAGCAGUUAUCGAAGCAUAAAAUCACGACAACAUGUUUUGGCACAAAUGGAGCAUUUUUUUUUUUGUUUUGCUUCUUUUAGUUCCUUGUUCUUUUUACUGGAAAAUUUGUUUUUUUUUUCCGCCAAUGCAAGCCUAAUAUCUUCUUUUGUGAAUAAGUCAUCUUCUUUGACAGGUCAUAAAUCAGCAUAGCAGCUGGUUUUUGUGCUACUAAUAAGCACCUGCGUUGUCUCUUGAUUCGGAUUUCUGAUGCUAGAGUUUUCCUUUUUUUUUUUCCUUUUGUAGGACUCUCCUUUCUUAAACUUUGCUAGCACUUUGUCCCCCAUACAACCUGUCGAUACCAGGCCUGCUGCAUUUGUCGAUGUGAACUUCCCUUCGCCGGAACCUGUUUUCAAAACACCACACACUAAUCACCUAAGAAAGUUGGAUCUCUUGAGAAGGUACUUUGACAGCUUUUACUACUGGGUAGUCCUGUUAGACAAUUUUGAUUGUUGACAUCAUUCACCAUUUUUCUCUUCUAGAUGCGAGCAGCUCCCUUCUCCUUCUCAUAACCCUAAGUUGUUUUCAGAAGUUGUACCUCCCGUGUCAUCAUCUAUGGCUCAGCUUAAUACUUGCUGUGGAAAAGAAUGUGAAGGAGAUGAAUCUCUCCCGCAGGAUCGACCGUGUAGCAGUCCUUCAACUUGUGUCGAUGCAUUUCUUGUGGAGCCCUCAGAAGACUGUGAGAACCCGUCAGGUUCGCGAGAUGCCUCCCUGGAAGAAGCUUCAAAACUGUCUCAAAUUAACAAAAGUGAAGUUCAAAUAGAUUGUCGCCAAAAGGAUAGUGGUCCCGUAAGGGAUUUGUGUUCUAAUUCACCUAGUCUCCAUUUGGACCAAGAUUCUGGUGGUUUGCGAACUUCCCAGAGUGAGUCUAUUAGCACUAAGGAGAUUGAGAUGAAAAUUCCGGCUUCCACUACUAAGGAACUCAUGGUUGAGGAUGUAAAGUUUUCUUAUCAAGCUGAACAGCCAUUGGCGGGCCUAAAGAAAAGCUCAAAUGAAGAGCACUUGGGAAAACCUGAUAAACAAAAAGAAGUUAAAGUAAUACCACAUACUGAGGAGCUUCAGCCAGUGCUGAAGAAUGCUAUUAAAGGUGAUGGUUCAUCUGUGGAGCGGGGCGCAGCUACACUUAUUCAAGGCCAUAGAGCCCAAGAUGUUAAGCUGCACACUGGAAGUGGGCAGUGGGGUGAAUCGAGUUGUAACCCUCAAUUUCUGCCACAACCUAAUGAUGCUAGCCGAGUGGUUGACAGUUACAAUGACAGUUGUCUAGCAGUAUCCGUUGUAUCUGCUGAGAACCAGACUCUAUGGGAUCAGGAAGUAUGGUCUUUUACUGCACCCCUUAUUAAUUCUGGUUCAGGAUUUAGACUAUUUUUUUGUCAUAGUUUGCUAUUUAAAUAACACAUUUUUCGUUUUAUUGAUUUGUUUUGAUAUGCUGUUAUUUGACCUGUAUAACUGCAGUCCUAUGUUGCAAGUUAAUUGUGGCCUGCUAUUUUUUAUUGUUGCCUCUUUUCUUUUGAUGUUGCAAUAAAAUCUUUUGACACUUCAUGUAGGAUGGGGCUGCUCAAUGUCCACGUGGCAUGCGCAAACGCCUGCAGUUUGAGGCUGUUGAGAAUAAUCAGAAAUUGUCUUCAUGGCUCUACAGUGACCUUACAGACUCAACUGACGAUGUUUCCAAUGCAGAGUCACAACUUCAUUUGGACAAGCACUCUGUAAAUGCUUCUGAUGAAAUUCCCAUUGUAAAUUCUAGCAAAUCAGAGACUUUUCUGCAUAAAUCGUCAGCGAAUGUCAAUAGGGGCGGCCAAAAGAAAGCAACCACCGUCCGGAUGGUUCCUAGACCAUCUGGGAUUGGCUUACAUUUAAAUAGCGUUGCAAGCAUUGGAUUAAGUUCAGAAAAAUCCUUAACUAAUCCUGGUAUUGCAAGCAUUAAAGAGGAAAACCAAGAUAACCCAAUGCUUAAAUUACCAGAAAAUUCUUCUAGUUAUCAAUCUCCUCUGGAUGUGGAGCCCCUUCGUAGCUCCCAGCCGUCCAAAUGUACAGACAUCAUCGUGACCCCUAUAAAUGUAAAAAGUGUGCCCGCAAAAGAUGCUAGCAGAUCAGAAGAGUCAAGUAAAAUGAGCCCUAGAAAGAAGAGGUAAGUGGAUUGUAUAGAAUGAUUUGAUAUAUUGCAUUAUACGUGUCUUGUUAUUUCAAAUAUUAGAUGUCUCAGGAAGAAGGCACCAGAGGAUGAGGGCCAUAAGCGCUGCAACUGUAAGCGGUCGAAAUGCCUUAAACUGUAAGCAUGUGUAUACAACUUUUUAUUUUUUGGGCUUCUACAUACAUAUUUUUCGAAAUUAUGUAUUUAAGCUUGUGAAAUGGUAAUAUCCGAGUUGUCAUAUACUUCCCUUGAAAGUGCAGUUUCUUAUAAUAGUACAUUUAUUAAGUUUGGGAUUGGGAUUAUUGGGUUCAUGGGGAAUUGUUUGGUUUUGUAUCUGAGAGAUUUUUCAAAUAGGGACACUAUUGUAAGUGCAAGGACCUAUAGUGGAAAAUUUAAUUUUUAAGAAGGCAUAGCUGAAAAUUCAGGUUUCCCAUAUAUAUAUAUAUAUGUGUGUGUGUGUGUGUGUGUGUCAUGCGGCACUAUAUCUAAAUAUCUUUUAUAUAUAUGUAUGUAUGUAUAACCAUGCGGGGCUACAUCUAAAUAUCUUUCCUUUUCAGUGUUAAUAAUUAUUUUUCUUGCCUCUUUUGUGGGAUCUUGCAGUUACUGCGACUGCUUUGCUGCUGGAGCAUUCUGUUCUGAAGCUUGUGCAUGCCUGGAGUGCUCCAAUAGAUCAGAAUAUCAAGACACCAUUCGUGAAGCUAAGCAACAGAUAGAGUCUCGAAACCCACUUGCAUUUGCUCCUAAGGUUGUGUUGCGAGUUACUCAACAAAACCAAGAAAAUGAAGUAAGAACUUUCAUCUUGUCUAGUUCUCAGGUUAAUUAUCUUCAAACGGUAAGAUUGAUUAUUCUCAUCUUUUUCAGGAGAAUAAGGGGGUAACACCACCCUCAGCAAGACAUAAAAGGGGAUGCAAUUGCAAAAAGUCACUUUGUCUCAAAAAAUAUUGCGAAUGCUAUCAGGUCUUUAGAUAGUUGUAGAGUUUCUUAUUAUUCAAUAUGUGUUCUUUUAAAGAUUAUUUAUUCAUACUUCUGUCUCUCACUAUCAUUCUGAAGGCUGGUGUUGGCUGUUCCUUUGGAUGCCGUUGCGAAGGUUGCAAGAAUACAUAUGGCAGAAAAGAUGGUAAGUAUGUAGUUAAAAUUGUUAUGCCCUUUGGUUACUAUGGUUAAAUAUUUACCAAGAGGUUCCUCUUUGUGCUAUCCAGCUAGUAUGCUUUUAUCUCUAGUGGCUCAGUCCAAUUUACUGUUACCCAAAAGAGUCCCUCUAAUUGAUUAAGACCUGAAUGGUGGAAUGAAAAUUGAUGUGUGAUGAAUUAGAUGAAUCGUUACUAUGAUCUCUGUAGGGGGUUAGUUUCACCACAUAACCCUGCACCUUGAUUGCUUAAAGAGUAGUGUAAUGAAAGUGAUUAAGUUUGCAGGUGGUUGGGGGCAACAAGAAAUUAAAAUUUACGACUCUUAAUGUUCUGGUGAAUGCAGGAUACUGGCUUGUUAAGAAAUUCCUUUCUGCGGAUUGCCAGGAAUAGAACAUAGAAAACAUCCAGUAGACAUCUGCUGGAAUAUUCUAUGUAUAUUAUUUGGAACAUUUGGAUUUAAUGUAUAAAUAAAACAUUCUAAUUGUGCUUUCAUUAUUAACUUCCCUGCUCUUGCCUGUGAUUGAUAUUUGUGUUCAUUUGGAGGUUGCGGUGAGCUUAUAGAAAUUGAACACAAGAAGCCAGUGGAGAGAGAAGAGAAGGAUCUAUCUGCUGGGAAACUGAGAAGCACAGGAGUCAAUAUGGAAGUUAUAAACACUUCCCAACGCCUUUUACGCCUCUCCCCUGUCACACCAUCUAUCCAAGGUUCAAAGUAAGAUUUCAAAACUUUAUAAAGCUUGUGCUCUGUUUUGUCAAUGUCUUAGCAUUUUAUUAUUCUCAGGCUUAGUAGCUAUUCUUUGUAUUCCACUAUCUUUUUUAUUUUCUUUAUUUUUCUUUGGCUUCAACUUUUUCAUCCUUUUCUUUGAUUGCAUACAGCAGCGGAAACAAUGUGCCUAAAUCUCAUAAGCUUCCCUCAAGUUAUCACACGUCUCCUGAAUCUGGGGCACUAGUUUUACCAUACUAUGUGGAGUCUCCUAGUUCCCCAACGAAUUCAAUGAGCAUCAACACAUUCGAAGAGGCAAGAGAAGAACUAUCUAUGAUCCCCUAUGAUCAAGACCAAGCUUUGCUAAAACUGGACUCAUUUUCACCGGGAUGGGACGGGUUUCCUGACAUAUGUAAUCUCAGCCCCUUGACAAGCCUUUCACCAAGUACCACUCACCCUUCCUCAUCUAAGAUCAAAGAACCCAAGAUUAUACAAAAAAAAGUGUUUCCUUGGCGAAGCUCACCAGCCACUCCAUUGCCCCAUUUUGCUGAGAGAAAGAUUUUUUCAGAGCCAGACUCCGAAAGUGUACUUCCUAACAUUCGGGAAGAUGAUAUUCCGCAGGAGAUUUCAGACGAACGCUUGCCCAUAAAGUCUGUACAGGCGAGCUCUCCUAAACAGAAAAGAGUAUCUCCACCCCAGAGACGGCUACAUGGAACAAGAUCGAGCUCGUCGCCUAGUCUGAGAAGUGGUAGGAAAUUUAUUUUGCAGUCGGUUCCUUCAUUUCCUCCGCUUACUCCCUAUAGUAAAAACAAUAGAGGGCAAGGUUCAUGAUGAAGCUUUUAAUUCAUUGCAGGUGAGUCGACUCACUCUUUUAUUCUUGUUAUCCAGCGAUGUUCAGCAUUAUUUGGUUUAUAGCUUUCUAAAGUGAUGUGUUUUGAUGAUUCUUUGCAUAUGAUGCAGGUGGUUUUCCUUUGGUGUCUAUGUGAAAAAAAUAUGCUAGACGUGCCCAAUUAGGUGAAAUUUUUUAUCCUUAUCCGGUGCGCGCGUUAGAGCAUUGAGAGGACCCUCUGCUCUACCAACUGACCUAUCCCGACCAUUUUUGGUGAGUGUCCGAAAUGAGGCAAAAUCUGCAGCGGUUGAUCAACUUUGCAGAAUGUUACUGGAUUGGCUGACAGUGGUACCUUAUUAUGUCUAAAAUAGUUUAUAUUCUGCUCUCUGUCUUCUUUAUGUACUCUGCCUGAACACAAAGAAUUCUUUUUAGAUGGUAUGUAAUUGCAGAUAGCAUUUGACAGUUUAAUAUCAACUGAUUUAUUUCUCUUCGAGUGCUGAUAAAUAUGCAUUUUAACGGAGCAUAUGCUUUUAUUAGAAGAAUUAGGACUUAACUCAGAAAGCUUGAUAUGUACCUUGAGAUGUUGUGCGGUUAUUGUUGUUGCUGUUCUUAUUUUGUGUAAGCGCUUUUCAGCGUAUGUUUUCCUUAUGCCUCUGUAAUUCUACAUGUCUGGUGCCCUUCAAAAAAACUAUGGUGCUUUAUCAUUUAUUAAUUUAUUCCCAGGUGAUGCUGCGUUCUAUAUCUUUUGAGUGUUAUGCCUCAUUAUAAUAUUUGUGGAGAGAAUAUUUCAAUGUAUUUACUUGGUUAAAUGAAAGGUGAAACAAUUGUAGAUACCAGCAUGAAUGGUGAGCACUAACAGAUCGUUAAAUUGCAACUAAGAGUUACCACAAGAGAAUGUAGUGUGACUAAUUACACUGCAAUACUAUUAAAACUGCAUUUGUAUCAUAUACUUUCUCUUCAAUAUCGACUUCACCUCAUUCUUUGCAUGUAAAAGGACAAAAAAAAAAAAAACAGAAACAGGAAUAAUUCUGAUACAAUUAAUCCUCAUCAGAGUAAUAGAACAUAGCAAUGAUAUCAUAUAAACCAAGCAAAGCAAGAAGACGACCAAACAAUACAAACGCUCUCUGGAGAUCGAGCCAGUGCUACCGGCCGGACAACGCCGAGAAAGCGAACGAGUAGCUUGACGAGGAUGGCGGCCGAUCUUCUGACGAACUGGCGACUUUCCUUUCGGAGGAUUUAUCUUCACUGUCAUCUUGAUCAAUGGACAGCAGGUCUACCACAAUCAUCUCCGGCUCUGGCGGCGGGGCGACACAGACCCUUCCCUCGAGCAUGUCCACCACCCGCGGCAUGCUCGGCCUUACGUUCGCCUUUUCCUGAAUGCACCAAAGCGCCACGUAAACCAACGUCUCCACCUGCUUCUUAUCCACUCCUCCCUCGCAUCCCGUCGCCGUCAGCCUCCCGUCGACGGCCUCCAUGAUCCUCCCUUCCCUCACCUUCUCCGCGACAAUCUUUGGGAAGUACGACCACCUCCGCUCCGAUGCAUUGCCGCCUUCAUCGAUCAGUCGGACGUUACGCCGGCCUCCGACGAUCUCCAGCAGCACCAUUCCGUAGCUGUAGAUGUCAGACUUCUCCGUGAUCCCAGCCCCCAGCAGCCACUCCGGUGCCAGGUAUCCUUUUGUUCCCCGCACAGUCGUUACUAUUCUGCUCUGAUCUCUACCCAUCAGCUUCGACAGGCCGAAGUCCGACACGAGCGCAUGGAAGCACUCAUCGAGCAGUAUGUUCUCCGGCUUGACGUCGAGGUGCAGCACCCUCGACCUGCAGUCGUGGUGCAGGUACGCAAGCGCCUUGGCCACGUCGAUAGCUACUCGGUACCGUACCGCCCAUGGCAAGCACCGGGGGCUGCCGCUGCCACCGCCGCUGCGGAAUCCGUCAUGUCUCGAAUGCGAAAAUAUCCAGCUAUCCAACGAGCCGUUGUGGGCGUACUCGUAGACGAGGUAGUGCGGGCCGCCGCAGCCGCGCGGGCCGAGGCAGUAGCCGAGGAGGCGCACGAGGUUCACAUGCUGGACGCUGCCGAUUGCAGCCACUUCAGACUGUAACUCCAUAACCCCGUGCUCAGCACCGUCAAUCCUCUUAACCGCUACUGCCGUGCCGUCAUCGAGAAUUCCUUUAUACACAGCGCCCGAAGACCCUCGUCCGAUCAAUGCUCGGAAGUCGUCAGUGGCUGCCUCUAGCGUCUUGUACGAGAAUUUCGUAGGUAGACCGGCGACUUUGCGGAGGAAGCUGUAUUCGAGGCGGAGAUCUUCGCCUUCGAGAGACGAAUUCCUCAUAGUCGACUUCUUUCUUCUUUCCGGAUCGAGGACAGUGUAGUCGAGCAGUAUCCACGCUAUGACUAUCAGGAGCAACGAGAAGAUAACGGCGGCGACGAAGAAUAGUGUUUUCGAUACAAUGAACCGUGAGAGGAUGAUUAAGAUUAGGAUGAGGAGGAAGGUGAGAGAUGAGAGAACGAGGAGCUUCGUAGUUUUGGGUUCCAUCGGAGGCUCAACAAGGGGGAGAAAAAAGAACGGCGUUUCGUUUCAUGAUCAUCAAUCAAAAGUUGAACCAAUGUGUAGUAGUCGGGUUCCUGGAGAGGGAAAAGAAGAAAGAGUCUUUGAUAUUAUUGUUUUUUGUUGCUGUUUUUUGUUGCUGGUGUAUAUUUUGGUGGUCGAUUAGAAAAAAUCCCCUCUCGUGCAGUUGACUAAAAAUUUAAGUAUGUUUAACUGUUGCUUUGGUGCCGACCCACAUGGAUUUAAUUAAUUAUAUGAAGGGGGAGGUUAUGACGAUGAUAAUGAAAGAGAAAAAGAAAAAAACUUUGGAAUGUGUCUUGUAUAUGCCUUCAAACACAAAAAAGUCAAUGGUGAUAUCUAGGAGUAGGAGAUAACUAAAUUACCAAGUUGAUUGUGUAUUGAAGUAUUCAAUCCGAUUUUUCAGACAAGAAUUUGCAAUACUAUCGCGCUACAUUCGCUUAAAUUAAAAAAAGAACGGUGCUAAAUUCAAGGGAUCUACCAGAAUAAUAAUGCAACUUAUUUAUAAUUCAAGCCUCUGUUUAGCAAAAGGUGAAAAAAAAAUGAUUGGUACAAAUCAAAUCAUACGUAUCUCUGCUAGAUUAUGGACUAUAGAUAUAUACUGAUACAUUUAUACUUUUCCAAAAUACAAUUUCUUAUAAGAACAUUCUCAUCUUCGGUUGGGAAAUUUUGUCAAACUAAUUCGAAUUGAAAAGAAAUCUUUUAUUGGGGGGGGUACUUCUGUAAUUAGAAACUAUGUUUUACCGGGCAUAUAUACACAAAAUUUUCAUAACAUAAUGUGCGUGCUUGCGUGGGCGCGCAUGCACAUUAUCAUCUAAAUCGAAAUAAUUCUUUAAUUUCUGCUACCGUGUCGAAGGCUCACCAAAAGAACAACCUGCAGCAUAGAUGCUCCGCGUUCACUUAAAGAUCAGUGAAAAGAAUCACUCCUACUAUCUAUACGGCCGUAACCCAAAGCCGAGAUGUGAUUAGUAUCCAACUUUCUCAAAUACCCAAUCACCUGAAGUAUUACUGUCACACGAUCUCGUUAUUUAUGGUGAUUCAAUUUCUCGAAAAGAGAACUACUACUAAUAGUUAAGUAGGAGAUUAAUGAUAAUGAUCCUGAAACUAAUACUUAGGUAACAACACAACCAUGCACCGUACAAUGAGAAGCAAGAAAUUAGCAUAAUGCAGUCAAAUUGCCACAAAAGGAUAAUAUGGUGACUCCCCAUAGCAGCCAAGUGAAAUGGAGGAUGCUACUGUUGCAUUGAGGAAUCACUCGAUUACUAAAUUUUUGAGCAUAUGAGGAUAACGUUACCACUACUCUUUUGCUCUCAGCGUGACUGUUCGCAUUCCUUGUAUCUCAGUCCAUGUAGUUUCCUUCCAUAUCCAGGUAUCCAUCCAAAUCAUUUUCCAUCAUCAUCCUCAUGAGCACCGCGGCCUUCUCUCGCGCCCGGGCAGAGCCACGGACGGACAAAUCCGCCAGCAGCGACGACCACUCAUCAUGGUUCAACGCAGCCUCCUUCAAGCACUCCCCGCUCUCCUCGAACAACUUUAUAAGAAUUUCCGCCGCGCUUUCCCGACUCACCGUGCAGCCCUUCCUAAGCCCGUCGACCAUCAAGCUCACCACUCCGUCCACCGCCAUGAUUGCCUCGAUGCCUUCGUCAAACCUCGCCAAGAGACCAAGUACGGUGAAAGAGCCAGCAAGCUCUUCUGGAGGACUUUCGAGGUUUCCUACCAAUAGCGGAACGACUCCGGCCCGUACGGCCAGAGUGCAGUUGCCGUGGAAAUGUAGGAGCUCCGCCAGCGCGCUAAGCAGGUGGUGGUUGGCCGGCGAAGAAGAAGACACAUUGGUAGAACAUCUGAGUGCCUCGACGAUCACCUCCACGGUUCCUGCCAUUGAUCGAGUAUGAAUGGACGUUCAUGGACCUUUUUUUUUUUUUUCUUAAGAAGAAAGAAAAAAAAAAGAAAAAAAGAAACAGCUUGAGCUUUCAAAUUAGCAAAAAAGGAUACUUAAUAGUAGUAGCGAAUAGAUGUCCUAAAUUCAAAUCUUUUAAGCCUCCUAGUUUCAUUUGAUUUCUUUCCAUUAAUAUCUGACCCGUGUAGUCGUGUGUGUGUGUGUGGUGAAAAUCAAUCUGCUGGCGUGAGGUGAGAGAGGUAAGGGGAGCGUCGAGAACUGUGUAUAAGUAUAACUGAAUUGCAUAAUAUACCGUUCUGUUCUCCAGAAGCUUAAGAUUUUGGAGACAAAAAUAAAAUAAAAUAAAAUGGUUUCACACCUGCGACUCCGAGUGGGGCCUUGUUCUUGUCCAGCAUGGCAAGGCUGCAGAGCAAGGAGGCGGCCAGCUUGGCAGCGUGAGGAGGUUUAGAGGAGAGGAGGAUGGAGUUGAGGAGGGUGAUGAGAUUGGGAGUUUGGGCCAAGGAGAGCUUGAGGUUGGUGUUAAGGGAGAGGUUGAAAAGGAUGGACAGGGACAGGGACAGUGUCUGGGUGUGGGUGGACGAGGGGGUGGCGGCGGAGAUGAGGCUGAGGAGGAGAGGGACGGCACCGGGGGCGGCGGCGACAUGCUUGCGGUUGUGGGAGCUGACUUUGGUGAGGGAGGAGAGAGAGUGGAGGGCGGCGGCGGUUUGGCCUUCCGGGGAGUCUAGAGAUUGGAUCUGCUGCAGGAGUUCGGCAAUGAUUUCCGUGCCUUGUGCCGCCAUGACCGGACGUCCAGUUCUUCCUCCUCCUCCUCGGGAGGAUGUGUUAUGCAAUGUUGUGUUUACUGCUGUUUGCUGCUGUUUAGGUAGACAAGACAAGCUCCUUGGAGCUUUUGCAAAUGGCAAAGACUAAACGACAUUUCCCUAUCUAACGUGGUGAAAUGGCCGAGGAGGAAUGCCCAUGGAAUCGAUGUACCCAAAGCCAUUAAAAUGUCAAUCCAGAGAGUCAGCAAAGGUCGUAAUACUAGGCAACAGGAAGACGAGAGUACAAAGAAUAUACCGUUACCUCUUCUUGGAUGAACGCUGUUCGUCGCCAGCUACAAUCCUAGCAGGCAAAAAGAAAAUACAAUUCAAAGGAAGAAUAGAACUUCACGAGAUAAGCGGCAAGAAGAAUUCAAAACAUCUUAAAUGUCUCACAAUUGUCACAAGAAGAUACAGCGCCUCUUACGGUUAUUCGUCCAGCUCCAUUAACAACGACACGUUAGUAGUAAACAGCUGCAAGCACACACUACAUGAGUUUUUUUUUCUACUCUUAUUUUCUACUUCACCAAGCCCCGUUCGGCUUCCAUAAAACCUUUCAACUGGAACUAUGCAUUCACUUUCUACAGCUUGUAUUUCCUACUUCAUCAAACUCCGUUUGGCUUCCAUAAAACCUUUCAACUGGAACUACGCAUUCACUUUCUACAGCUUGUAGUGUAAGAAAGAUAGAGGAUCAUCCCACCCGCAAAGAGUGUGACCAGUAGUUAAAGAGAAAAAUAGAAACAAAAAAAUAAAGUAACCAAGGCCAGAUAAACAACCAAACCGUCAGACGCAGUUGCUACCACGCCAGUAGCACGGAGCUUAUCCUUAAAUGAAACUUUACUCACCGCUGGGAAGAAAAAGAAGAAAAAAAGAUUAAAAAGGAAAAUUCUACAAAUAAAGUAGAAAGACUGGGAUGACAAGAAACACAUGUUUGUAAAUCCAUACAUGAAUACAGCAAGCAUCAGGUGAAAGAUAAACUACAGUAAAAAUCCGAAACUAGUACAUCACUAAAAACAUCUCAUAAAGCUAGUCACCUUAAGGCUGUUGCUUUCUAUCAUGUGAAAAGGAGCAACAACAACAGUCCAGGAAUUCAUGAAAAAACUUUUUAAGCUCAUACAAAACUAUUUAUUUCCCUACUUCCCAGCAGAGUCCGGGGAACCAUCUCCAUACGAAACCAAGCCCUUCUUCCCACCAGAACUGGUGGAUGGAGAUCUUGAAUUUUCUUUGCUUACGCGCUUCUGUGCAGGGGUGUUUGGGGAGGACCGGGACCUAGACUGUGACCUGGACCUGGACCGGGACACAGAUGGGCUCCUGCUCCGCGAAAUUGAAUGCCGGUUUUCGGAGUCUCGACCGCCACGAGCCCUUAGUUUCUCAGCAGGGGGUGAACGGCUACGGACCGGGCUCCUACUAUAGCCACCUCUUGUCCGGUCGCGGUAGCCAGCAGGGCUUCGUGAUAUGCUUCGGCUACGGCUCCUCCUGCUUCUGUACCUGCACAAGAUUUCAAUAUAUACAACACAACAAAGUUUCGUUACAUUCUCCGGUGGGCAAAAACUGUUAAAAUCAUUCACUCAGUACAUGCUAUGCAUUCCCCCGUGAAAGAAGCAUGAUUUGAUAAAAAGUCAACAAGUAGCAAAUCAACUAACUGGGUGGCAAAGUCUGCUCAGGGGACAAACUAACAAUUUUGUGAAAAAUCAGAGGUAGGUAUGACAACAAUAGGAAACCUUGGUUAUUUAAAAAAAUGAAAGGCUGCAUUUCUUUUGAUCCUGGAGAUAUAGAUAUGAUUUACUUUAAAAUGAUCUAAAAGGCUAAAACCACCUUGGUGGAGUUCUUCCUCUGGGCGGGCUCCUGUAUCGUCUUGGGGGAGAUCUGUAAUGGUAGCUUCUGUAAUUUGAGUACCUAUGUGAAAAUAAAAAAAUUAAACACUUCAAUUAUUGAAAAAAAAAGAAGAAAGUGUAAAUGUUAAAUCAGCACUUCCAAAAUUACCUAUCACGAUCACUUCUUCCACCAAAACGAUAAGAUCUAACAGGAGAACGUUCCGGAGAGGGGGUUCUGUAUCGCCUUGCAUAUGAGUACCGCUGGCUAAACCCUCGACCUCUUCUUAUGCGUUUUGGGGACCCAUCUGGAGAACCACUUCUUGACAAGCUCCUGCCACGGUUGACAGGUGGUGAUACCGCCCUGCGAACAGGGCUUCCUGGACUUCUGCUAUUGCUCCUCCGAGAUCGGGGUCUCACCGGGCUACGGCUCACGCUUCUCCUGAAGGAUCUUACAGGGCUUCUGCUGAGGCUUCUCCGCACAGCAUCCCUCACAGGGCUUCUGCUUAUGCUUCUCCUGGAAGACCUUACAGGGCUCCUGCUAACACUUCUCCGUUGCGGAGAUCUUGCUGAACUUUUACUGAUGCUUCUUCUUUUAUCCCUAGGGAGAGGAGGGCUUUUGCUCACGCUUCUCCGCACAGGAGACCUUUCUGGGCUUCUACUAGGACUCCUGCUAAUGCUUCUUGUGUGAGCUUGAACAGGGCUUCUGCUUGUGCUUCUGCGAACUUCAGCAAUUGGGCUUCUGCUGACACUUCUAGCUGGGCUCCUGCUAAUGCUUCUUUUCCGAGACGGGCUCCUGCUAAUGCUUCUCCCAGAUGGGCUCCUGCUGCGGCUGAUACUUUUGGGCGGGAGAGGGCUUCUGCUAAGGCUUUGACGAUAGGGACUCUUUACGGGGCUCGCACUAGGGCUUUUGCCGGCAUUGUUCCUCGGGCUGAUACUCAUGCUCUUGCUCAUUGAGUGGUUAGCACUCAAGCUUUGGCUCCUGCUCAUCAAUGUCAGAUAAAACACUGGUUCUCGAAGUGGAACGUGCAGUAAGCACAAAGAAAUGACUUUUGGGGUAUGAGAAGUAUAGAAAACCUAGAUUUGCUCCGAUUGCCAUCUAUAGCAGUUAAGCUGCCAGCAUUUUUGACAGACUUUGUUUCGGCCAUGCCAUUGCUCCGAAGCUCCCCAUUUUCAAAUGGGGAUCUAUCAUCUUCUUCUCUGGUGGGAUUCUCGAUCGUAUCACCCUUCUUUCUAUUAGCAAUACCUUUAGCCGUGUCCAAGAAGAGCUGAUUGUCAGCUGAAAAGUACAUAGUACAAAAGGAUGACACAUAAAUAACACAUAUCAAGAAUAAACACAAAGUCACAAUUCUUUCUCACCAAUCUUAUAAUUUCUAAAUGAAAGCACAUACCAGACACCUGAGAAGAGAUCUUGGACUUCUGUUUUUGUUUCUUAUCUCCAUCGUCCUCAGCACUACUAGCACCCGAUUCUGUUUCACUGACAUUAGCUGACGUCCUGGCACCAGUAAAAGAGAUGCUAAUAACAUCACAUCCAGAAAGAGAGAUAUAGCUACUAACAAAGUUUACUAUUAAAAUUAUACACAGAAUAUUGAUGAGACAGUAUAAUGGACUUGGAAGAACAUUGGAUAACAACCUCUUUGGUUUGGGCUUUAAUUUCCUGUCAUGCUUCCUGCGUCUCUUAUCUCGCCGCCUAUCCCUCUUUCUUUUUCCAUGCUUAUGUUUGUCUCGCUUGGAAUAUUUCUUUCGCUUCCUAUGCCGGUCAUCACUCGAAGUACUGACAUCAGACGAAGCAGUUGAAUAGGAAUCAGAAUCGCUUUCAGACUCUGAUGAUUCAGUUUCUGUCUCAGAUGAGCUUUCCGAUUCUGAUGAAUAAUAUCUUCUUCGUUUUUUCUUCUUCCUUCCUUUAGAAGGUCUACUGCGCCGUCCCUUUCGUUUCCCAUCAUAGCCUUCAUUGCCUGAAAAAUCCUUUGAUGACUUUGAUUUAGCAGCUUUCUUUUUAUCUACAAAAGAAGAGAAGAUUUAUUAACCAUUUUGAAAAGCAAAUUUCACGUGUCUAUCCCACAAGGCAAAAAAGCUCUACGCUAUGCUAUGUGUACAAAGCAUCAUGGAAUAUCACAUUUCGAGAAAGAAACAAUAUAUGACCAUUCUCUGUUGCAAGAGUGCUCUGAUCUUUGCUCUCUUUAAGUUCUCCACAAUGCACAAUUUUCACAGGAACAACAGGUCUGCUACCCUCAACUUCAACAUGCUCUAUUUUCUUCAGAGUUUCAUUUCCGAGAAUAAGCUUCCCAAAAACAACAUGUUUCCUGCACGAAGGAUCAAAUCUUUAUUUCAUAAGAAAAGGCCAGGCAAAACCACAAAUAUUUGAAACAAAGCAAUAAAAUAAGCAACUAAGCUGAAAGCAUUUCUAGUUUACAUCCUAUAAAGCCCGUAGAAGUUUUAUCUGAACAUCUUACAUAUGUCCAGGACCCCCCAAAAAAGAUCUUUACUGCAUAUAAAGAAUCAAAUACAUCCUGUGCUGCUAUUCAGUCAAGACGUGUACAUCUACUAUAUAAAAAACAAGAAUGCAAUAUAGUAUUAAUAAGAUGAAACUAACCCAUCAAGAUGAGGUGCAGACUUAAAAGUAAUAAAGAACUGGGAGCCAUUAGCGUCACGACCAGCAUUAGCCAUAGAUAAGACACCAGCGCCAUCAUGACGGAGCACAAAGUUCUCAUCUGAAACAUUGGAUAUUAACUUUCAUCAGCAGGAAAACAGACACAAUAAGUGAAUUAUGAGCUUACACCAGAAUUAUCAUGUAUCUCAUACAUUUAAUAUAAGAGGACGUGAUAGUACACUAGAAAAUUUCCUUGUCCAAGCAUAUAUUUUGAAAGUCCUGCUAUGUUUGCUGGGAAAUAGCUAUCAUAGUUAGAAGCCUUAAGUGGAAGCUCUACUGUUGCAUGCAGGAAAAACAGUAAGGCCUAUCCAGAUUACAACAAAUUAUCCACCUGGAACUUUGUCAGUUUAAGUAAUACUAAAUUCUACAAAGAACAAUUAAAAGCAAAGGAAAGUGCUGAUUUUGUGCGAAAUAUGUGAGAAGGAACCUUAAACAUUCAAGACAAAACAAAGUUUCAGGUAAAUGAAGCAACUUUUUUAGCCACAGAUCACAAGAAUCAAGAAAUUCAUACUUCUGACAUCUUGAGAAAUGUUGGUAUUCAGUCACUUAGCAUUAAUUUCUAGGUUCUUUCAUUGAGAAAAGGGAGGUACAAGGUGAAAUUCUCAAAAAUACUUGCUGAAUUACUUAUUUGUAAAAAUCAAGCUAUAGCACAUAAGAAACCCAUUGUGACAACAAAGGGAAGAUUAAGAAGCGCAACAGAAUUUAGUUGUAUAAUUUAUCAGCAUAUGCUACAAUUAUGUACCUUCCAUGCAUUUCCCACAAACGAGAGCAGAUGUACUUGACGAUGAACGUAAUGUAUGAAAUAAACAAAAAUGUUUCAUGAGCACAGCAAGGACAAAAACAUUACAUAGCACAAAUCCCAGCAAGACUAGUUUUGCAAUAAACCCAUGCCAGAAUUCUGAACUGAUGAAUAGAAAACCAACGAACAUACAUCUCUAUCUACCACACUGUAUGGAGUUUCUAAGUAUAAUUACCUGCAAAUUUCCCACCAUAUAUGCUCUCCCCACCUGUUCCUGAAAAAUCAUGAGGACAUGAAAACUUGAGAACAAUCGAAUACAGCACUAAAACAAUAGUCUGAUUUACAGAGUACUUUUUCUUGUAUUGUUAUCUUAUAUGAGACUCUGCAAUAAUGUAGAAACAUUCAUCACACACAACUAGUCAGCCGGCUGAGGACAAAUUGGAGGGGGGAAGGUAAAUUACCCUUAAAUAGGCCAAACUUUUAUAAGUUCCUGAAAAUCAUUAGGACAUGAAAACUUGAGAACAGUCGAAUACAGCACUAAAACAAUAGUCCAACUUACAGAGUACUUUUUCAUUUCUUAUUAUCUUAUAUGAGACUCUGCAAUCGUGUAGAACUACUCACCACACAACCAGUUGGAUGGCUGAGGACAAAAGUGGAAGGGGGGAAGUAAACUACCCUUAAAUAGGCCAAACUUUUACAUGUUCAAGCACAAUGCGCUACUAUGACUCCCUUAACUAUGAUGAUAUUUAUCAGGAUUCUACUGGGUAAAAUAUUUAUUUUUAGUAGCACUGACCACCAAGCUGCAACUACUCCCACAAGUCAUGCUACCUAAAAGUACAGGUUUGCCAAUAGUAAAACAACAUAAAAAAGGAGAAGGCUGAUUGAAAUAUACGCUGGCGAUAACUUAUUUCUCAACAUUAUAAUAAAUGGGAAAAUAAGGCAAUAGGGAAAACAAAACGGUAUAAGGAGGAUCAGAGGAUCAAGCCAGAAAGCUUACCAUCACGUUUAGAAAAAUCACCUCCCUGCCAAAAAAAAACACAAAGUAUUAAGCAUAUGACAAAGAUAAAACACUCCAUAAUAUUAUUUAAAUGACGGAGUUCACAAAAAUUAUAAGGGUAUACAGCAUUACAAAAUACAACCUUAAAUACUACAUGACAAGAAAAGCAGUUGAGACCAUUUGCCCUGUAUCCUACAGCAUAGAAAAGGAGAAGGACAAAAGGCAUCACAGCUAACUAAUUUUGAUGGCAAAAUAUGUUGCACAGACUGAUAUUGUUAACCCUUAAUAACCAUAUUUCCAAGAAGGGUGUUAUUUUAAGAAAGAAAAAGGAUAGAAAUAACAUACUUGUGCCAUAAAGCCUUUUAUAACACGGUGGAAGAUGGAUCCCUUGUAGUGUAACGGCUUUCCAGUUGUAGAUCCAACUCCCGUCUCACCUACAAAUACAUUAAAAUCAGCAGAAAUAGUAAAGCGCAAGAAGCCAGCUGACAUAUUUGCAUAUAUUACAAGAAUGUAAGUAAAGAAAGUUAAAAAGUAAGGAUCUCAUACCUAGCAAUCUAGAUUUCAACUUCAUUUAUUUCUACAUCAUCUAAAAUACAACUCUAGACGGCCGAUAGCCGGGUAAAAGGUAGUGUUUCAUUUCCAACUAAAUGCCAUACACAUUGAACUAACGUAUGCCUUUUGGGUUAACUAGCAGACACAUUAUGAAGUGAUGUAGAAGAAAAGCCCAGUGAUCACAUGAAAGGUGAAUAAUUGUGAGAUUCCCCUGGUGGGGAAAACAUUGAAACAUGAGCAGAAUAUUCAUAGAUUCCAUAAACUUCUCCUAGAAUUCUUGUGGGGAAACAAAUGUAUAUUAAGGGUUCAAAUGGAAAAGAAAAGUUAGGGCACUUGUUAGAAUUGUUAAAGGCAUAAGAAAUGCUCCAGCUUAUAUUCAGUUCUGAAUACCUAGUACAAAUUUAAAAAUGCUUAUAAAUUUAUUCAAAACUACACUUUUAUAACAAUUGGUACCAACACCUUUUCUUUUCAUUUUUCACUUUCACGUAGCUUCUAAGCGAGCAUUUAGACCAAGUUAUCAAAACCAGUAGUAACAUCUACAAAAUAGUCAUUUAAGUGCAACCAAGAUCUUCAUCAAUUUCUAAUUGGCACAAGUCAUACUAUUCAAUGUAAACCUACAGACGAAGUUACCUUUGCAAUCGUUUUAUAAGGAUCCAACACAGAAUUACACAUUGGUUAAAAAAAGGGUUACCUGAGUAUCAUGUAGCUGUCAUUGUAUUCAAGAUGCUAACUACAAUCUAAUGCAACUAAAUGAGCAAUUGAUCCAAUGCUAACCUAAGUUUCGAAAAUGCAACUAGAAACAGAGCAGAGCAGCGCUAAAUCACAAAAAGUAAUAAUGAAAAUAUGGCAGAAGCUGCAACAAACUUUGUAAUAGAAAACUUCAAGAAAUCUCUUCUUCCUCUAAACACAGUUUCAGCAAUAAUCCCAAUGAAGCAACUAGAUACCAAAAAGCAAGUCGCAUUUAUAACCUUUAUUUAAAGCAAGUAAGAUGGUGACAACUUAUGAAAAAUCAUUCUAGUUUCUGAAACACCAAAUAAAUUUCUUACUGCUGUACACCAAAAAAGACAUUCUAUACCAAGUUAUGACUAAAUAGAGAAAUGAACUGCAGCAUGUUUCAUAUGGUCAAGUACAUGGUUGGAGGUUCAAAUGUAGAUAUCUUAACAUCAAUCAAGUAACAAAUGACGCAACAAUAGAUAAAAUGCUGAACAGAAAAAGCAAGCCAUUCUCGCAUUGCAAGCAUAAUGCCCAUGCCAGAAGUUUAUUUCUUCUCUCAAACAAGUAAUAUGGAGAAGGUCAUUACCUGUGCAAAGUGCUCGAAAGUUUUCAGCAGUCUUGGGGACAAUGUCAGCAAAGAGCUGAAAGCACAAUAAAGCUUUCAGUGAACAGUGUUGAAUUCAUUAUAUGUAGGCAAGAGAAGAUAAGCACAGAAGCACAUAAUGCAAUUAAGAGUGUUAAUGAAGAACAGAAUGCCCGCCAUGCUAAAUCUCAAUGACUAUUAGAAAAGACUUUUGAGUAAUUGGACAGAGAAAGAUGCCCAUAAGAUUAAAAAGACACAAAAUCACCUGAAAGACCAUUCUUUCAGCAGUUCCACCAUUUAUAGAUACAUCAAGAAAAACAAUAGGAUUAUGUUGGGCCAUCUUUCUGCGUUAAAUUCCAGGACACCAGCAGAACCAAGCUGGAUACACAAAAAAGGAGAAAUACAGUUAAGAGUUAGUAAAAAGGCCUUGGGGGUAAGUGCAUGCGUGCGUGCGCGCGCACGAGAGAGAGAGAGAGAGAGAGAGAGAGAGAGAGAGCUUCGAAUACCCUCUGCUUUAUUAUGCUGUUCGCACUUUAAAUGAAAGUAUGCAUGCAACAAGCAUAUAAAAUAAUAUUAUAACUAAGGAACUAGAAACCACGAAGAAUUCUGUCACAAAGUUUGACAAUCAACAAAAAUUAUACUUGUUUCCUUGAGGUAAAUCAUUUUGCAACUACUCAUUUGCAAGACUCUACAUCUUCCUUUGAUUGCGAAUAAUGAUCUAGAAAUGAAACACGAAAGAACACUCAUUAUGUCCAAGAUUAUAUAUAAAAGUAACAGCACUGGAAGAAAUAAGUCCCCAGGAAGAUGAUGUAAAUUAGCACAUACUGUGUUCCAGAAGACCUAUCAAACCUUUCUAAAAUUGGAAGAGAAACAGAAAAAUAACAUUUCCUUCACGAUAUUAUACAUCAGCAAAAUAUUCCCCGAAUCACCAUACAAAUUCAGAUGAACUAUAGAUAUAAAAAAUAGCAGAAAAAAAAUGUAAAAUUUCUAUUCUUUUCUAGCAGAUAAACUGGAAGAACCGAAACCUAAAACCCUACUAGAUCUCUCCAAAACCCUACUAAAGAGGUAUCACCGAAUCCAGUCCUAGAAAACCCUAACAUAAGAAAUCGCCCAGACACAAUAGCUACAAACAAAGGCGACAAAUCGAUCGCACUACAGAUCAACUAGGUAAACGGAAAGGUAACUCAGAUGAGAUGAGAUGAGAUGAGAUCCAGUUAAAAAAAUAACAAAAAGAAGGAAACCUUUGCAAUCACGCAUUAGAUCGGUGAAUAAACGAGUUAGAUUUACACAUAGAUUACACAGAAAUGGAUGAAUAAUUCAAUCGGGAAAAAAAAAUAGCGGAGGAGAGGCGAACCCUAAGAGUCCGAGAGCAGCUGCGGCCACAUAACGAAGAGAUGAGAAAGAGAAAACGACGCAACACGAGGAAACAAAACCUAGACCCCCCCCCCGCCCGACCCCUUGCUUUCGUUUCACUGAGCACGUGAGAUUACCGAUAUGCCCCUGCUAUCGGAGGAUAUUUGUAGAGAUGCCCCUUUGGCUUCGGCCGGGGGACACGUGCAGACGUGCCAGAGUGUCCUGCGAUGGAGACCGGAGACUGGAGACUGGAGAGAACCCGAGCUUCGAGACCCAUCUGCGGCCUGUGGCCUGUGGCCUGUGGCCCGUGGGGCGAGGAGUCACGUGAUACUCACGUGAUCAGGCAAAUUGGCUACUCCUAAGGCAGUGGGCCCAUGGAAACAAAUGGAGGAUAAUUUGUAGAGAUGGCCCAUUAUCUAACUGUGAGGCAUAGCAACGUGGGCUUGUUGUGGGCUAAAAUAGUUUGGCCCUUUGUUAGUCAGAGAUUGUUUUACAAAAAGUAUAAAUAAAUAAAUAAAUAAAUCACGAGCCUACAAACGGCUGUUGUGAUGCCACGCGUGCGCGGAAAACAGUACCAACAGACCACCGCGCUUGACCUGCACACAGGGAACCGAGAAAGUGACGUGGCCACUAAUCAACCCCCCGUUACCGUUGCCAUGCUCUUUCAAAUACCGGCCGUCCGAUACCCAUCAACCCCCUCACCACCUUCGUCUUCGUCUUCGUGUUCGUCUCCGUCCCCUCGAAACCCUCCACGGCGAUCUCCACGCUCUCGGAUGGAGUCGAACGCGAUGGUGUGGUUUCGGAAGGGUCUGCGGAUCCACGACAACCCGGCGCUGGACCACGCGCGGCGCGGCGGCUGCGCCCGCCUCUUCCCGGUCUUCGUGCUCGACCCGCGCUAUCUCGAACCGGACCCGACUGCCUUCUCGCCCGGGUCCGCCCGGUCCGGCCUGAACCGGAUCCGGUUCCUCCUCGACAGCCUCGCCGACCUCGACUCCGCCCUCCGCAGCCUCGGCUCCCGCCUCCUCCUCCUCCGCGGCGAACCCGCCCCUCUCAUUUGCCGCGUCUUAAAGGACGUAAGCGUCCUCCUCUUUCUCUUUCCACUUUAAUUUCUAUACAAUUGAAGCUAGGGCUUGUGAUCGGGAUCCCCUUGUUUAUUGUACCUAUGUUGUAGUGGAAUAUCGGGAAGCUUUGCUUUGAAUUUGACACGGAGCCGUACUCUCUAGCACGCGAUAAGCAAGUUUCGGUGAGUUGAAUCGUCUGAUAUGAGUGGAAACUGUGAAAUUUCCGAAAUAGAAAGAUCUAACUUGAGAAUUUUGGAUUGGUUUUUUCUAGGAUUUUGCCUCUGCUUCAGGAAUCCAGGUGUUUUCUCCCGUUAGCCACACCCUCUUCAACCCCGCAGAUAUCAUAGAAAAGGUAUAUUCGUAAGUUUUUUUUGAGGAUUCUUUUUUAGAAUAUAUAAUACCGUUUUCCCCAGGUUUUACCAAAGUUGCAUAGCAUUGGUCCCUGCCUUUCAAUUUUUGUUAUCGAGUUACUAACAAGUUGUAGUUGUUUCAGUGAAGUUCAUUUUGUCAAAAAGUUGGUUAAUUCAGAUGGAAUUUGCCACCAAUUCCCGUCUGAGCUAUUGGGGUUUUGAUGGAAAGGACUUCCAGGUGAAACAACUGAUAGCCAUUAAGGACCAAACUCUAGAAGUUAAAUGGUUGGGUUAAAAGGGAGAAUUUUGUUAAAUUUAGGGGCGAUGAUAAACAAUUUACUCCUUUCAUGUUAAAUUAGUAUUUACUAUUUUUUGGAUGGAUAAUGACAGUUUAGUUUUUGUUUAAAAUUCUUGUAUGCACUCUCAAUUCAAAGAAUGGGGGGCGAGCGCCUUUGACGUAUCAAUCAUUUGUAGCACUUGCCGGGAAGCCCCCAGAGCCGCUAUCUGUGACGUAUCAUGAGCUUCCUCCUGUAGGAGAUACUGGGGAAUAUCAAUUGCUAAGCGUUCCGAAAAUUGAGGAACUUGGCUAUGGAGAUAUUAGUCAGGUUUGUGGUUCUUAACAUCAGCGUAGGGAGAGUAAGUGAAUCAUUUUGAUGCCUUGUCCUUGAUGACGUUUACUUACUGCUCUAGGAAGAGUUUUCUCCCUUCCGAGGGGGUGAGUCAGAAGCUCUGAGGAGAUUGAAGGAAUCGCUUAAGGAUAAGGUAUAUUAUCUCUCCUUGAUCACUUAGCUCUUACUCUGUCCUUUUACUUUGAUAUUAAUUUCCUCCAUACUAUACACUUGUUUUCCCCCUCACAUCUACGAAGAAUUGACUCUCUGUCCAAAGGUUGUUUUACGUGAACCUUUUGGAGGAUUUAGAGAUAUUGUUGUUAGCAUACUUUUGGAUCUUGCAGGAGUGGGUAGCAAAAUUUGAGAAGCCGAAAGGUGACCCCUCCGCUUUCCUAAAGCCAGCAACCACUCUCUUAUCACCAUAUCUGAAAGUGAGUCUUAUAGGUAGUAAUAUAUAUUUUAAGUUAUACCUCUCUAUCUUCUUUAAUUCUUUGCUGAAUGGUUCAAGAAGGUCGUUAUGUUCUUAUUGUGCAGUUUGGUUGUCUUUCUUCGAGAUACUUUUACCAAUGCCUUCAUGAUAUCUACAAGAGUGUUGGAAAGCAUACAUCGCCUCCGGUUUCGCUGGCUGGGCAGGUCUGUUCUGCAUCAGCUGGAAAAAUUAUUAUAUCUAUAAUUGAUAGUAUUAUCUGAUAUUUGCUCUCUUUUUUUUCUGACUAGUUACUGUGGCGAGACUUCUUCUAUACGGUGGCCUUUGGAACUCCUAAUUUUGACUGUAUGAGAGGCAACAAAAUCUGCAAGCAGGUAAGCAUGGUAGUUUGCACCUUUAUCAUCAGCCUAGUUUUCGUCAUCGCAAAAGCCAAAGUAUGCUUAGAUUUUGAUGCCUCCCAGGCCUCCUUUGUGGAUCGCUUAACUUUGUCAAGAUAGAACCUGGAUCUGAAUUACAUUGCUACUUCACUUUGUAGCAGACCAUGACCUGGAUGGCCUGAUUCGUUUUGAUCCCUUUCAUGAUCUUUCAAACCAUUCUACCUGUCUGGCAAAGUUGCCAAUUUUCCUGCAUCUUUUUUAUACUUUCAACUUGAAUUAUCAAGGAUAAUUAUGAGAUUGCACUUUUUUUCACAUAAACUUUUCAUUUUCACAAUAGAAAUUUUGCAUUUUAUUGUAUAGGUUCCUUGGAGGGAUGAUGAAGAAUUGCUUGUAGCUUGGAGAGAAGGUCAGACAGGAUAUCCUUGGAUUGAUGCUAUAAUGAUCCAGGUUGGUCAAAAAGUCCCAUAUAAUGCAUGGAUAGAACAGUUUGUCUCUGUCCGUUUUCUGUAUAUUGAAGUUUUCACAUAUCAGCCAGAUGAUCUGAAGCUUGCUCAUGUUGUCAACAAUAGCUGAAGAAGUGGGGAUGGGUUCACCAUCUAGCACGGCAUUCCGUUGCAUGUUUCCUGACACGUGGCGAUCUGGUAAGAUCUUUUAAAUAAUUAUGUCUUAUAUUGUGAAAUUUUCUUUUUUUGAAGAUGUGAAAUUUUAUUUUAUGUUAUAACUAUAUAAGUUGUUGCAUGUGUAUUGGAAAAUGAAUUUUUUGGUGUCAACCAAAUUACCUGGAUGCUUUGCCUAGGACUUUUAGGGGUUUGCCAUUUACUUCGAUCAAUUUGACAACCUUCUCUCUCACAUUUUGAAUUAUGUAGUGGGUAGUUUAGUCGCCAAGAUCAAAUUUUCAAGCUUUAUUUUUAUAUCUGUGCCGCCUAAGUGCCUAGACAUUUUGCCUAGGAGUAAAAGGUUGCCGCUUUGAAUCGUUCUAGAGAUUUGGCAAUCUUCUCACCCUUUUAACUACUGAGCUGGCAAAAUUCAGUUAUGGAUUUAAAGUAUCAGACUUCAAAUAUUUAUCACAAUAUGUAAUAUUUUGUUUUGUGUACAAAUUUGUCUGCUUUGGCCUCAAGUAAUUUAUUUUUUACAUGUAGUUUAUCCACUGGGAGAAGGGACGUGAUGUCUUCGAAAGACUACUGAUAGAUUCUGACUGGGCCAUAAACAAUGGUAAUUGGUUAUGGCUCUCCUGUUCAUCCUUUUUCUAUCAGGUCUGCAAGAAAUCGUUCUUACUUAGUCACAAAUAUCUUUUAAUCUGUAUUUUCAAGCAGAACGAUUGCUUAUGUUGAUUAAUCUUGCUUAUCCUCUAAAACAGUAUUAUCGAAUUUAUUCUCCAAUCUCUUUUGGGAAGAAGUACGAUCCAAACGGAAACUACAUAAGACAUUUUCUCCCGGUGUUGAAAGGUGCUUAAACAUGAUUUAGAUUUAUCUUCUAAUACAGUUGAACCUAUCGUUUACAUCAAAUUUCCGCAUUAUUUCAAGAGGUUUCAAAUGACUAUUUUUUUCAGAUAUGCCUAACGAAUAUAUAUACGAACCUUGGACUGCCCCACUAAGUGUUCAGAAGAAAGCAAGGUGCAUUAUUGGGAAGGAUUAUCCAAAGCCAGGUAAGCUUUUUGUUGAUUCUUUUUUUAAAAUUAUUAGAUUUUUGUUUCCCAGCUGUUUUAAACAGCUUUCAAAAUCAAACACAAUAGUUCAUGAGCAUGGUUGUUCAAAAAUGGUCCUAGCUAUAUAACAUUUCUUUAUGAUUCGCCAUCCUUUGUUCUUCUUUUGUAAGGAUAUUCUUGUUGAAUCCCUGAAUUAAUUAUUAAGAACUUUCUAAAUGUUAUAGUGGUUGAUCACGAUAUCGCUAGCAAGGAAUGCAGGAAGAAGAUGGCAGAAGCUUAUGCAUCAAAUCAUUCAGGUGAGAAUGUGCCGAGUGGGAGGUCCUCAAAUGUCUUGCGAAGGAAACUGCAAAAUGAGAAUCGAGAGGGUUCUCCACCAACGAAUUCUAAACAAAGGAAAAAACACAGUUUGUUAUGAAGCGGCGAAAGGACUGCAGUCAUACUCUUUUACGCACUAUUCACUGAUAACAAGCAAUUUGUAGUUGUUACUAAUUCGAGCGCAGAAAAAGGUGGCUAUGUUUGAUCGACCUGAUGAGUAGCUUUUACUGUGUGUAGUGUCUGCUUGUAUUUGUAGGAUUCCUGCAAGAUUCAAUUUGAGAUGAAGCUUGAUAGAUUUUGGUAAUUAGUACCAGUUAACACAAACAGCAAUGAAGAAUAUUUCUCUUAAACUUAAACAAACACCGCCAACCGGGCGGAGAUUGAUGUAUUGCAAAAUCCCAAAGUUCAGUGACAUCUCCACCAGAAUCCAACUUUCCUUCUUGCUUAUUACAGUCGAUUUUCGAAAUCUCUCAAAUAAAGGCUUUUAUAAGCUGGAAUAUAAUUAUAUUCUUUCAACAUCUCUCAAUCUCCUGAUGUUUCCCUAACAGCCUAUCGUAUCGGAGUGUUGGCCAAUGAGUGGGCCGAGUUCCGCAUUGCUGGAUGUGGCUAAGUCUUGGUUUAGACCUGGUCACGACUGUUUUUCGCCUUUGUUUUUCUUAGCCUUUUUCGUGAACCUUUCUCUUUUUGCUUUUCCGCCUGUCUGAGGCCCUAGCUGUCUCACCUUAUGUAGCUAAAUUUAUUUGCCUAAUGAAUGAAGCAGGUAGCGUGCUACCCCUUUCUCGAAAAAAAAAAAAAAAAUCUCUCAAUCUCCUUUGUCUAGUUUUGAAGGGAGUUUACUGUAUCACAUCUACAUUACAUCAACAGUAACAAGUUAAUCAUAUCUCUUUAUUUGAUAAAAAAAAGUACGACAAAAAAUUUUUCUUUCUAUUAAUAAGUGAUGGGAUGUAUCAAACGAAGGUGGACAAUUCUAUUGAUUGAAAACGUCACAUUAGCAAUAUAUUUGGGUUACUCUAAAUAUUUUUACUAGUGUCGUUUUGGUAAGUGCUUUGCUAUUUGAGCUUGUUCUAAAAAUCAAUGAUUGCAGAGGCUUUCAACUGGGCGAAUCCAGCCCAUAAGAUAAUUGUGAAUUUAAAACAAAUAUAUUAUGUAUUAAUGGACCCCUACAAACCAAAUCCUUAACGGCCGCUACCGAAUCUCCUGAUCCCAUACCUUUUCAUCAUGUGGUUUCCGUGACAUCUAAAUUACAUUCCAACGUGGCGCGUUACCAACUUAUCCCUUCCUUCUUUUCCUUGGAAAAAAAAAAAGAAAAAAUUAGAACGAAGUAUAUUUUAUAAAAUGAUUAAUUUAUACAGGUCAUUACAAAUAUAAUAAAUUAUAAAUAUAUUUUUAUAAAGUUUAACUUUUAUAUAUUAUUCUUAAGAAAGUCCUAAUAUUUUCAAAUAUGUCCGUAUUGUUAGGAUCAGUUUCAAAAAAUUAGUUAAUCAUAGAUAAAAUACUUAAUCCUAGUUAGUUAAUGAGGUGAAUUAAUCUUUUUACCUCUUUUUAAUUAAUAAUUAAAAUUUUUAAAAAAACAUAUUUAUAAUGGUAAAAUAGUUAUUUCACUUAUAAAAUAAAUAAUAUUUUAACGGUAACAAAUCAGAGUAAUAUAUAAAGCAUUAGAAUUUUGAAAGAAUAAUAUAUAAAAAUUAAAUUUUAUAGAAAUAUAUUUAUAAUUUACUAUAUUUAUACGGAUUUGUAGGAUAUUAACUCAUUUAAAAAAAAAAAAAACCAAGCGUCGGCAUACACCAUUGAACACGAGUCAUUCUCCGACUCGGUGAGUAAGCACUAAAACCGUCGCUCUCCUUUUCCGAAACGCCGACUCUAAUCAUAGCCGUUCGUUUCCUUUCCAUCGUCCCUAAUUCGAGUAGGAGGAGGAAAAGCUUCUAUCCAACGGUUGUGAUUGGCUGAUUUUCUACAUUCGAAUAUUUAUAAGAGGCCCUCCUGUACACUCCGAUUUCGUCGUAUUUUUUUUUCUCGUAAAAAAUUUGUUAAUCACUACUAGCGGCCGUGAUCGGAAGGAGAAAUAGAGGAGGGAGACUAAAGAAAUCGCGCGUUUGAUCUCUCGUUCUCGAUCGUCUUCUUCAUCGCUUGCGCAUCAAGAGGUGAGCAAUCUCUUAAUUUGCUUCACAUGUGGUGUUGUUUUGAUCUUUCAUUGAUCGGUAGUUAUGUUUUGUAAUUUGUUUGAGGCUUGGAAAAUCAUUAAUGGAGCUUCGUUUCCUUGAAUCGGCUAUUACUAGAGUCUCUUUCAUAAGAUCGCACGCAUCAUCAUUAGCAUUAUAUGUAUUAGUUUCGGGAUUUGGAAAAUCAUGUGGUAUAAUUUCGAUGUUCCAUGAGUGAUGUAUAUUUCGUUUAUAAUUUUCCGGUUUAUAGAGCACUAUUUCGCUCCCUUUUCAUGUUUUUUUUUUUUGUUUUUUCUGUUCUGUAGUUGUUACCUUUAAGAGCUUCAUACUAUUUUUUCUGUUUUUGAAAGUUGCUUCAUACUAGUAGGAUUUUGGAGUUUAGUUUAGCGUCCCAAUAACUGUCCUUUAAAAGUUUUUCAAUUUCCAAGCUGCUGAUAACUGGUGGAAAAUUUAUUGGAGAUUUUCUGUAACUGGAUUAAUUUCCUUUCCUUUUUGUUUUAGUAGUAUAGCGUCUCGUUUUGUUCAAUUUUCACGCUUGCAUUCUAUUUUGGAGAUUAUUAUGACUAACUGAAACUAUGAUCUGUUCUUGAUAUGAUGAAUCUUUCCUUUUAAAUAUUUUCCAAUUUUGUUUUUAUCUUUAUCUUUUUUUUUUUUUCUGAAAGCUUUUGUUUUUUAUCACUAUUGUUCAUUUUCGCUAUAUAAUCCUGGUGUUGAUUCUUCCUCUCUUUCCUUUUUUCUCUAGAAUAGUGACUGGCAUUCGCAACAAACCCUCAAUCAUGAGAUUCAAGAAAGGGAGCAAAAUUGAAGUACAAAGGAAGGUGGAGUCUCAUAUGGGUUCCUGGUGGCCUGCCCAGAUAAUAUCCGGUAAUGGGCGCCUCUAUCAUGUUAGAUACGAGUACGACCAAUGCUAUCGGGACAAGUGUACAGCUGUGGAGAGAGUGCCAAGGAAGGCAAUUCGACCCUCUCCUCCUCUAAUGGCGGAUCCGCUAGAUUUGGCGUCCGGUGACAUCCUUGAGGUCUUCGACAAUGGCUCGUGGAAACUCGCGGAGAUGACGAGGGUCGUCGAUGGGCAUCAUUAUUUUGUUCGACUUCUUGAUUGCUGCGAGGAGUUUGAAGCCCAAAGAUGCAACCUUCGACUACGGCAGCUUUGGCAUGAUGACCAAUGGAUUCUGAUUCCUAAGGUAACAUCACUGCUAUCUAUUCUCAUUUGCUUUCCGCAUACUGUGCGUGAAUGGUUCUUCUUUCCUAUUGUUUCAUUAUUUUCUGCAUAUAUCUUUCGCCUCUACCGGCUGCGUAACAUCUGUGGUGCAGCACCAUACCUGAUGCUGUCCAUCCAUCACAUAUUUUCAAUAGCAACCACAGAAAAGGAUGUUAAUUUUAAACAACGAAAAAGGCUGCAAUUCGCUGCAAGGUUGGGAUUGUAGUGUGUGAUGAGAUGGGGGGCAUUCAGGUAAGGGCAGUGCAUGGCUAACAUCGAGUGCUGGUGCAAGCAAUGAUUUUUCUUCUAGUAUUUGGGUUUUGAAUUGUUCUAUAAUUUGUAUCACGUGCCCUUGCAGACAUUUUGCGUUGCAAUUUUGUUUAUGAUUUCUAACAUAUAUAUAAAUAUAUUUUUUAAUUAAUGUAGGAUUGUGGAAAGCAAACUGGUAGAACAUUCAAAGGAGAAAAGUUUUCUCCAGGCAUGAAGAGAAAAUCACCGGUCCUAUCGCGUCCUGCCAAGUCAAUCGAUGGAGCUAUCGAAAAGCAGCGAGCAGUCAAGAGAAGAAGAUGUGAACAACUGGUGGCAGGACAUUCACCUCAUUUAUGGGAGAAGGUAGAUGCUGUUGCUUCCCCAUGCAUAAUGCAGGGUGACAAUAACAUGCAUUCUUCCUUAAACGACAGAACAACUGGCUUUUUUCAUAUGGCUGCAAGUAGGAGAAUUCCAGAACCUAGCUGUGCUGAGAUUACCUCAUCCUCUGUUGGUAGUUGUAGUGUCGGUGAUAGUUCCUAUCGCUAUCCUAUUGCUGAUCCAGUUCAGGACUUUCACGAUAAUUGGGAUGACGCUGAAUCUUCUUGUUGCCAUGGAAGAAAACAACCUAUUCCUUCAGAAAAACUGCUUACAACACAAACACGCUUGUUUGAGUUGUCUGCCUACCGUUCCACUUUGAUCGCGUUGUACGUUUCUGGACCCAUAAGUUGGGAACAGGAAGCAUUGAUGACGAAUCUCCGCAGUGUAUUAAACAUCUCUGAUGACCAACAUCGUUUGGAGCUGAGGAACUUAGCAACUUGUGCCUUCUGAAGUACCUUCUUGCUAGCCCAAAGCCAUCUCUAGGUUAAUCUUUUAUACAGUGGUAUAUGUCUCAAUGUUGUUUUAUUUGUUUCUUUCGCUGUAUAGUGGGAAACCACUUUUAGCUGCCUCUUCACAAGUUUACAUUUCUCUGUAUUUCGAUGAAAAGGGCAGAAUACUUGGAAAAGAAAAUUGUAUCAUAACUAAUUAAAAACAUUGAGAAAUAUUUUUUUUGAUGUAUAGUUGCUUUCAAUCAAUAUCUUCAGUUAUUAUUUUGGCUGUAUUGCAUAGUAAAGUUGAAUAUUAAAGCAUGACUGGGGCAACUCUGAUGCUUAGUUGAUGAUGUAUUUUAUUUGCACCCAAAAAUCUUAGUUGAUUUGUAAUACAGUAAUACUUGGUUGGGUUCCUAUAGUAUUCUGACAUUUCUGAUACAUGAAAUGGACAUUUGCAAAAGAGAAUUAAACUGCACAGAGUGCCUUAUUUAAAGAAUUUGACAAACUUCAAUGCCUAUGAGUACAGGAGUUGGAUAUUGAUUUCAUUGCAUAUAGUACGAUUCGCAAAUGCUUAGCGAUGUGAUAUUUCAAAUGCUUAGUGAUGUGCUAUUUCACCUUUUUGCCUAAUUACGCAUUUGAUGAACUGAUGGAAACUGAACCUUUAGAACUACUAUGUGGCCUGUUUAUCAUAAAUUGGGGCAUUUUGAGUGAAUUUUGGACAAUUUAUUGUUGUUCUUAUCAAACUUUAGCUGCUUUUGGAAAUUGAGUUGCAGCUAAGACUGAUGAUUGUCAUGUGUUUGCACUUUGAACAAUGUGGCAACCUUUGACCUUUCCAUCUGAUUCUUACAAACAACCCAGUGCAAGUUAAAUUAUUGGUACUUCCUUUUCCUUUAUUUCCUUCUGUUUCAGGCUUUUUAUAUGCCUGCAACGCUUGCAUAUUUGGAAAGAAGUUAACAGGGAAGUUGCAAGUGUUUUGAAAUUAAUAUAUUUGAAGACCUUUUUGCUGAAAUAAUAUCACACGCCAGAAUUUUCUACAUUUUCUUUUUGUAUAUUUGUUGUUCAUUAGAACCAUAUUAUCAUAGGUUGCUACUCUUUUUUCAUAUAAUAUGUAAGGAGGGAGGUUGAGAGAGAGGGAAUGAUAAGUUCUACAAUAAGUUCUAAUUGUAUUCAUGUUUUUUUUUUUUUUUUUUUGAGAAAGGGUAGCAUGUUACCGCAUCAUUCAUUUAGAAAAUAAACUUGGCUACAAGGUGGGCAGCUGGGCCUCCCAAAAAAAAAAGUUUCAUAAAAAAAGAUCAACACUAAUUAUUAUUGGAGCAGAAACGGGACCAUAGAUUCGUGAGAAUUCUAAUCUCAACCAACAAGGACCCCAACGAGAGCUUAGUAUUCGCAAAGAUUCUUCUAUUCCGCUCCAACCAAAGAGCACACCAAGUGGCAGUGAUAAUCACUAACUCUCUAUCCCCUGUAUACCUCCUUUGUAACAUAUCCCCUCCUAUAAUCCCUUAACCGAGGAAACGUUUGUUUGGUAGUAAACUUUUCAGCAAAGUUGUAGAACACGUACAUCGUAAAAAGAAGGGGUCCACCGUCUCCAUGUCCUCUCCCCUCCAACCCUAUCUUAUUUUUCAGGACUAACCAUAUAAAAAUCUUGACUUUGAGGGGGAUCGAAUUGUCCACAAACAGGUGAAGCUUUUGUCAAUUACACCACCAUUUCGUAUAAAAUUAUAGAUCGAUUUGACUGAAAAAAUUUCGGAACUAGCCCAUCUCCAUUGAUGAGACUCGGGAGAAUGACCCUUAAUAUCCCUUUUUGAAAGCUGCAAAUCAUGGAAUUUCAAGGAAGUGGAAUUCUAGAUUGUGCGUGUAAGAUGGAAUGUCUACGUAAUUACAGAGAUCAUCGCAGUUUCUUUUUUUUUUUUUUGCUUGCUGAUUUUUGUAAUCCCUUUCACCAGGGGAAGCUAAACUAGGUGAGUUGGUUGAUGUGCUUGCGAUUUUCUGCUAGCGUUUAGAGGGUUUUAAGUCUUCACACAUGUAUAAUGUACAACCGCAAUAUUGUGCAGGUAACUUAUGAUAUUCUCAUUUCUUUAUACAACAAUGUAGAUGCACUGAAUUGAAUAUUCUGCUUGGUGAAUUAGGGUUAACAUAGUUGAAGUGCUUUCUAUAACCAGAAGGCAAUUUCGAUCUUGAUUUUUCUUUUUGAGAGAGAGAAUGGUAGUAUGCUAUCCGCUUCAUUUAUUUUUUAGAUCAGUAAUGUGUGAAUCCGAAUCAAUAGGUUACUACGGUGGCCGAUUUCAAAUGUAAAGUAACUAUUUUCAACAUUUUGCAGGCACAAUAAUUGGACAUUCGCACAAAAAAAAUAGUGAGGUGAUAAUAUCUAAACAAUGGUUGAUUCUGAUUUAAGAAGCGUCCUCACAAUGUUGCUGCAGUUCAUUGCCUAAUCAAGUCAAUAUGUAUGUGCCGGUGUACCCACCCUGAAGCAUGAUUCCUCCAUGACGCAUGAUCCGUCCAGCGCACUCCGGCAGGACUAUAAUCUGACAGUAAAACUGAUUAAGGCCUCGCCCAGCUUAAGGAGCAGUUUGAAACGGUGUUAUGGGUUCACGCACGGGAGUUUACUACGCCAUGUUUGGAUGUUCAUGGAGAGUGCAGAAUCCAAGCCUGUAAAGAAAGUGAAUGAAAUAUUCUUGACGCAAGUGAUAAAGAGCUUGUUAGUUAGUAUCUGAGGUUAUAAGUUUGAAUCCUAGUUGAUUCACAUUUCUAACUAAGUUUAUUUUUAAAUGAAAUAAAACAAAAUGGGUAACAUGCUACCUAUCUCUCUCUCAAAAAAAAGAAAAGAAAUAUCUUUCAAGAGUUUGUAGAGUAGCUAGGAUUGACUCUGUAUACACAAGAGCUGGUCUAGGAAUGGUAAUUUAAUUCGGAUACUGUGUAAUAACCCGAUCUAAGCACAACUGAAUGAGAAAAAUACGACAAGGUACCCAAAAAAAUUAAAAUUUACACGACACUAACAAAAUCCGUAAGUUACACUUACACAGCAUAAUAAUACAAUUUGGCCCAAUUGAUAAAUUACUUCCAGCAGAAUUCAAGUCUUACAAUAAAUUAAUGUUUGGUAAACAAAACGUAACUCAUUUGAAUUAUGGAACACUUUAAGUUGGUUACCUAACAUUUCAAAAUUUUGAUGUUAAUUACUACCAACCUUUAAAUGUAUUUGAUUUGAUCUUAAAGUUUAAAUGCGUCCUUUAUCUCUACAUAUUUAAUUAAGAUACUUCAUGCAAUUCUCGUAAUUACAAACUUAUCAAAAUAAAUAAUAUGUUGAAAUUAUGAAGUUAAAGUGUCGUUGACCGAUUCAAAUCAAACAAAUUGGAAGACUGGCUCGUAAGAUUAAAAUUUUAAAAAAUUGGAUAACCGUUUCAAAAUGAUCUAUAGUUCAGUUAAGCUUUGUAUAUUUUUAUCUAAAUAUUUAAGUAAUUUUUAAAUAGAGAAAACUAUUCAGAGUUUCGCGCACAGACAAUAAAACAAAGGUGUGCACAAAACCUGGAAGCAGCUAUCUUUGCAUAACCGUCGGUCAGUCGACUGCCGGGCGCACAGCUUUAUGCUUGACGACCAGCAGGUUGCUGGGCCCCGACUUGACGUAGAACACGCGCGCUGCUCCUGUCCUCCACAGCUUCGGUGUUCACAUAAUUCACAUUUGUCCUCCACACUGCUCUUCGUUUUGUAUGUCUCCAACUUCCUCUAAUUUGUAACAAAGCGGACGUUUGGAUCUAAUAAUAGAUAAGAAAAAUUUUAGAUGGGUUUGUGAUUACGAUAUGAUGCUAGAUUAAUAUGUUAUUAUUAUUAUUAUUGAUGCGAUCCAUGAGAUGAAAAUGAGUGCGUAUUACCAAUUUGCGGGAAAGGACCACUGUAAAGCAUUGUGAUUGUAACUAAUCCACAUUUGCGUUUCUCAAAAAAAAUAAAAAAAAAAAAAAAUAUUUUUGCUGCAGCUUCUCUUAUAAUAUAAAUACCAGUUCGAAAACAGAAAAGAACUAUGAGGAGUUUUAAUUGAACACAAACACUUGUUAGUAAAGAAAUUAAGAAGACCACGCUUCAUUAAUAUUCUCUUGAGAUACUUAUACAACUAAAUUAAGAAGCACUUCUCAAUUCUUAAUUCUUUAUUGUAGAGAAGGUUACAACCAUAUACUCUAAAAAAUAGAAAACCAAUUUACAAAAUAUCAGAUUGUGUUCGGUGUAGUUGGGUUGUCCUCUUGAUCCUGAUUUGAUCUUAAUUUAAUAAAUUGGUUGAACUGGCUCAAUACGGUCUGCUUUGGUGCUUCAAUAGUUAGUAUUUAAAAAGAUUCCUAACUUUCUCAUUCUCGGUCAAUCAUACGAAUGGAGUUUUUUGACAUUUUCGUCCCUCCUGCAGAGUAGCUGGCAUAGGGACUGGGUAUUAAUUCCCAAUCAUUUCUCCUACGUGUUCUGGUGCUAGCUAAGAAACCUUAAUCUAAUCACCAAGUACAUCAUUAUCUAAAAUUAAUAAGUGAGAUGAUCUGCUUCCUUCAUAUAUAAAUGAAUGGAUGAAUAAUUGAAACAAGAUUGCCAACUUCUCAUUCGUACAUGCAUGAUUGAAAGUACUAAAUAUACUCCGCUUACCAAAUUUCUAAAUUGCCAUUGAGGAGAGGAUUGCGCGCUUGCUUAGGCAGCAAGCAUUCCUGAAAGCUAGUUACUAACAACCUUCUCCUAUUUGUUUAAUGCCUGACGCACACAUUUUUGCCAGCUAAGAUAUAUAUCUUUAACUAGCUAGCCAAGCUUAUUGUGUCGUUCGUCAUCUAUGAAUAAAACACAAAAAGGGUCUUAGCUAUGUACUUGAGCCAAAACAAGAAAACUUGCUUCAAAGCGGGUGUGCAUGUACUAAUAAGAGCUUAUCUGGCUUUAUACUGUUUGAAUAAAGCUACUUUUUAAUUCUCUCCUUCAUAUGUAGUUGAGAGGUUCAACAUCAGUUAAGGAGGGAGCUCAAUGAGCAACCUAAGCUUGUUUUCAAGAAAGAUGAUAUACUCAACCUCCUCCCGGUGAUGUUUAGUUGCUCUCUCUCUUUUAUAUAUAUAUAUAUAUAUAUAUAUAUAUAUAUAUAUAUAACUAAGCUGAAAUACUAUCAAUAGCACUAAGGUAUUAAUGCUAUUAGGUUUUCGUCAUUUGGAUGAAAAAAAUAUAUGGUUAGAAUGAUUGGGUUUUCUAGAGUUUAGUGGGUUGUUGAUUAAAUAGUAUAAUCUAAUGGGUGAAAAUAGUCCAAAGGUUAAAUCUAACAGCAGAAAACUCAGUAACACGAAACGUUUGGUGCUAUCAAUAGUAUCCCAAUCAGACUCAUAUAUAUAUAUAUAAUUGAGCUUCUAUGCUUUCAAAAUUAUCUAAGUUAUUGAUGCUUGUAGAUUUUUUACCAUUGGAUUAAUUAAAAGAUAUGCGGUUAGAAUGAUGUGGGCCCUCUAGGAUUGAGUGGGUGGUUGGUUGAAUAGUAUAAUCUAAUGGUUGAAAAUGAUAAAAAAAUAUAAAUCUAACGGUAAUAAAUUUACAAGCACCAAGUGCUUUGUGUUUUUAUAAGCACUAUAGCCGAACUCUAUAUAUAUAUAUAUAUAUAUAUCACCCAUUUUUUUGAUCAUAUAUUUGAAGCUCCGAAGUUACAUUUGCUGCCCUUCGUACUUUCUCUUGUAUAUGCCGCCUAUAUCUGAUACCAUUGUGCGUUGUACUUUACAUUAGUUAAAUGUUAAGCUACAAUGCUUAAUUAUAACUAAGAGGAGGAGGGGAAUCUAUGUGAAAAUAUAAACAAGCAUAAACUUUUACAUAGAGAAAGAGAAUAGUACAUACAAGUAAUUAAGCCAUGAAAAUUAAAGAAACAAAAUAUACAUUAAUACAUGGAAAAAGAAGAAGACUUUGAAGAAGAAUAUCAGAAAGGAGAGAGAAUUGGCUGGAGUAGUGUGUUUUGGGCAACUUAAAUAAUUUUGUUUACACAUCCAAAGAAUUAUAAAAAUUAUUAUUAUUAUUAUUAUACAUGGUCGGUGAACUGGGGUUAGCAUGCGCAUCCGCCGGAAUUCCGAUCCGUCGGUGGUGUACGUACGUAUUCGGUCAUUUGGGCAUGCAAAUAUAAUAAACCAGCUGCAGGGGGCCGGGCAUUUUGGUCACGAAAGGGCGCGGAAGAUCACGGGCGCGCCGUGCUGCGGGUAGAGCAGCAUGAGCACGGUGGGGGCGUGGACGUAGUUGGGGGAAGCGCGGAGCGAGAAGCGCUGCAGGAGAAUCGCGGCGGCCAGCUUCGCCUCCAGCAGGGCCAGGUUCUGCCCGAUGCACGUCCGCGCCCCCAGCCCGAACGGGAGGAAGGCCAUCGGGUGCCGGCCCGCGCGGGCCGCCCCGGACUCGAACCGCCCCGGCUCGAACCGCGCCGCGUCGGGGCCCCACAGGAGGGGGUCGUGGUGGACGGCCAUUAUCGGAAUCAGGAUCUCCGUGCCGCGCGGGAUGACGCGGCCUCCCAGCUCCACCUCGGAUUUCGCGCGCCGUAUCGUCGCCACCACCGGCGGGUACAGCCGCAGCGUCUCGUUUAAAAUCAUCCCUAGCUGUUGCGCCCCCAGAAACCGAAACAAUUUUCUUUUUUGUUAAAAAAAAAAAAAAAAAUUUUGAUUCGUGCACUGCAUGGGAUGAAUGAUAAAAACAUACCGUCUUGAGUUUGGGCAGUUGGUCCGGGGUGGGGACAUCACGUGAGCCGCACACGCGCAGGACCUCGGCGCGGGCGCGCUCCUGCCACUCCGGAUGCAUGGCGAGGAGCACCGUCGUCCACGUCAGCAGGUUGGACGUGGUCUGCUUCCCCGCGAAGAAGAACGUCUUGCACUCCUCCACGAUGUCGUGCACCGUGAUCGGCCUGGCUAGAGGGGGCGGCACCACACAGCCGCCGGUGUUGCCGCCCGCACCGAUCAUGAGGCCAAUCAGAUCCUUCGUGCAGUCACCUUCGUGGAGAUUUUGCUUCUCCGCGACGUCAAAGUCGUCUCUCCGGCGGUUGAUGAGCUUGACGAGAUUCUUCCUAAUCUCCCUGUCUAAUCUCCAGCAAAUCUUAUUUCUCUUCGUCGGUAAGAACCUGUUCAUUAAUUACAUAGACGUACAUGUAUAAUUAUUGCGCCUUUACAUAGGAUAGUAAUAAUAUAACGGUAACCGCAAAUUCCCUAGCUCAGUGAUGAUUUUCAAACUAUAUAUGAGCUUACUUAUAAUCAAGUCCUGUUGUUACAAUCUGUUGGUUUGGAUGAGUUGCAUAAUAAUAAAUUAAAAGGGCAACUCGAUCGUACAUCGCUGAUUUAAGAAGCAAUUGUGUAAUUUAUCCUAAUAAUAUAAUUAUUAACCAGGCGUGGUCGGUCUCAAUGUGCGAGUGAUGAGGACCUGUAGCCAGGGAUGAAGACCUUGCGGAAGGCCUCGGAAGCGAAGCCCAUCAGCUGGUUCUGCAAUCGAAACACGGCCUUGCCGUCGUCGUAGCUAGGGCCAAAUGCUGCGCGGGUGAUGGCGUCCUCAGCGACGACAUGAAACCACUCGGAAACAUCGAUCUCGACCUCACCGGAGGGAGACAUGUCCUCCGAUAGCUUCUCCGCCAUGUCCACCACCGUCUUACCAAUGAACGGUAUCAACAACUGCAUCAGAAACAAACAAAAGAAAAAAAGAAAAAAAUGAUAGUUAGCUACAACUUAAGUAAUUGCUAUUUUGGUUUAAAUAGGCAAUUAGUUAUAACAAAAUAAUAAUAAUAAAAUAAUUUAAUUUCCCUACCUUUUGUGGUAUGUUUUACUUGAUCCUGCUACAAUAUUUUCUGAAAAGUACUUGUAAUUAACUGAGAAACACUGUUAGUUAAUUAAAUUUUUUUUUUUUUAAGAUAAGUAGCACGCUACCCGUUUCGUUUAUUUCAUUUAGAAAUAAACUUAGCUGAAAAUGUGAAUCAGCUAGGAUUCGAACUUGAAACCUCAGGUAUCAACUAUCAAAUUUUUGUCACUUACUAUAGGGACAGUCAGUAAGUUAAUUAAUUAUUACCUUGAGAUUGUCGGGGUGGAAGGCGGGUGAGAGGACUCUGCGGUGGAGGGCCCACUUGGGCCCGUGGAGGUUGGUGAGGCCGUCGCCUUCGAGUUGCCGGACCAUGGGAUGGGCCUCGUACCGGUCGAAGUGGUCGGACCGCGACACAAAGAUCUCUCGUAUCAGGUCCGGGUCUGCUAUGGCCAGGCGCGGCGUGGGCCCGAACCAUAUCACAAAUGUCGAACCUGCCGAACCAAUUAGCCACGAAUCUCAUCAUCACAUGGCCAAUGCCGUGGCAAAUACAGGCAAUCAAUUCUGAGAAUCAAAAAUGCGCGCGCGCACUCGACAUGCAUUUGAAAUCACUAGGAAUUAAUAUUAAUUGUAAUGAAAUUACUGUUAAGAUCAAUAAAAGUAACUCCUAACCUGACCGAUUGUAGUUACUUAAAAUCAAAUCAAUGGGAAAGAAAAGGAAAAUCAGUGACCUGUUUUGAAAUGAGAUAUAGCUGAGGGGUCUAUACGUACGUAGGUUGCUGAUUAAAACAAUUGAGCAAUAAUGGAGGAUGUGAGAAAGAUAUAUGUGCCUAAAACUAACAGGGAAGCUUGCUAGACGAGGACAAGGAAAAGGAGAGAUAACAACAGCAAAUAACGGACUCUCUAGAGAUUGAUAGCUACGUGCAGGAGCAAACUUUAGUGAAAUUAGAGAGAGAGAGAGAGAGAGAGAGAGAGAGAGAGAGAGAGAGAGAAUAUGUAUUAAAGCGAUCUCAAGAGAAUUGAGUCCUUGUCUCUUUGUGAGUGAAUAAGGCCCAAAAAAAUUCUAAUUCGUCACAACAGCAGGCCUGGUAUAAUAGCUGUUCGUGUGGUACACGCAAAACAUGGGAUAUUUUAUCAAAACACGGGUUGGGUUGAACUUCGAAGCAUAUAUCAUUGAUGCUAUCUGAUGGUACGUAUCAAAGGCUGCAUCUUUUCAUAGAAGAAUAUAUAGUAAAGAAGAAAAUGGAAGCACAAAAGAGACAUUACAAAGAUAUCCCAUAAUUCCACUGCUAUAUAUAAUAUAAUAUAGAAUUGAGCUUUUAUGCUUUUAAAAGUAGUAAGUUAUUGGUAUUUGUAAAUUUUUGAUCAUUGAAUUAAGUGAUGUGCAGUUAGAAUAAUGUGGAAUCUUUAGGAUUGAACGGGUGAUUGAUUGAAUAGUAUGAUUUAAAGGGUGAAAAUAAUCAAAAAAAUAGAUCUAACGGUAAAUAAUUAAUAAGCACCGUAGCCGGACUCACAAUCUAUAUAUAUAUAGAAAGAGAGAGAGAGUCCGGUUGGUAUACCAUCGGUAGCACGGAGGACUUCGUGCUAUUAAGCUGUUUUCAAUGAUGCGACUUCCAAAUCGACAAUCGGCUCCGUUAGACUUGAUCUACACUAUUAAAAGUCUUUGAAAACUAAAUUUUAUAAUUUUUCAAUAUCAUUUACCUAUCAAACGAAUAGUUGAAAAAUAAACAGUUAAAAAUAAAAAUCUCAUAAAAAUGAUGAUAAAGAUUUAAAUUUAAGAUCGGAGAUACUGAUCUUACUUUAAAUAGUUCAAAAAAAAUUUUAUAAAAAUUUUAUCAGAUUUGAAUUAUUUUAUAUCGUUAAAUUCACAAGCGCAUCUCAUCUACCAUUAAAAUUGUUAAUUUUGAGAUCUUUUGAUCACUAGCCAAAGAAUGUCGAAAAAUUAUAAAAUUUAUUUUUCAAAUACUUUCAAUAGUAUAGAUCAAGUCCAGCGAAUUCAAUCGUUGAUUUGAAAACUGCAUAAUUGAAAACAACUUGGUAGCACGGAGGCCCCGUGCUACCUAUAGUAUACCAGCCUAGCGUGCGCUCUCUCUCUCUCUCUCUCUCUCUCUCCCUCUCUCUCUCUCUCUCUCUCUCUCUCUCUAUAUAUAUAUAUAUAUAUAUAUUUAUAUAUUUAUAUAUAUUAGAGAGGCUCAGAAGCUCCAAUUAGUAUAUAUGUUUGAAGAAAUCAGGGAUUUCAUGAAUAUUUCAUCUAUGUACCUUAAAUUAGUCAGGAAUAGAAAUUAAGUUGACCCUAGUUAGCUAGUCAGAAUAUAUACAGAUCAAUAGUAAAAGAUAAAUUGAAGCAAUCAUCAUCCCUAAACUAAUAAUCUGGAAAUUACGAGAACUCAUAUAUAGAUUCACUAAGUUAACAAUUAACUAACAAGUCACAAGGAGCACUCGAAUUAAUCUCUAUGUGAGAUCCAAAGUGAGACGAAGCGGAACGGCGAAAACAACCCCAAAAAAUAGCACUUUGUAAAGCCAAAGCACAACAAAACAAACGCAAAAACCGCACCCUCAAAACAAACCCAAGAUCCAUCACCACUUCAAUUAAUUUGGUUCCUUGAUUUAUUUAUCUAUUUAUUUAUUAUUAUUGGAUAUAUAUCCAAUAAACUAACUUAAAACGUAUAUAUAAAACCAAGUAUAGUAGUAGAUGGAUGGAUCAAGAUCCAAAGAGAAAGUCAAAGAGCAAGCUCUAUACGCACCAUACAUCUUCUUCCAGUGAUGGUAAAAGGAAAGGACUCUAGGGAGAAUAUUAUGCGAGGUUUGAGGCAUCAUUGGCUUUUUGGAGGCCUCCACCAUUAACUCAACCAUCUCCUUAACACACCCGACGAAGAAACGGUACGGGGGGCCCUUUAUCCCUUGCGUCGCGAACAACUCCUCCAACCUCUUCGGUCUCCACCAAAGCACAUCCAACACCUUCACCACCAUGUACACGCAUAGCACUCCAAUGGCGCCGAGAAGCAACCCCAUCGUGCACCCCGUCGAUCGAUCGCCUCAAACUCUUCGUUUUCUUCUUGUAUACGUACGAGACUCGUGUGUCGAUCUACUGUUCCAUUUAUGUGCUUAUAUAAAGUAGAUCAACCGCAACGUACCCAACACACCUCUCUACCGUUGUGGGUUGUUGUUGUUGCAUCUAGUUGUAGCUCAUGACAUAGGGAGUGAGAUCAAUCAAUUUGUAUAUAAAGAAGAGCUUGCUAGCUAGCUAGCUAGCUGGUGGAUAUAUUUAUAUAUAUAAUGUAUAUUAUCUAUUUAUUAGAGGGAGACGUAUAUAUAGAAGGAUAUAUAUAUACAGGUGCUUGAGGGGAUUUAUAUAAGAAGGGGAGAAAGAAGCGUGGUUAAUUGUAUAUGAAGGGUCAACGAGGUGCGAAAAAAAGGUUGCUUAAAAUGACCGAAGUGGCCUUUGAUGCGUGGAAUUAAUGGAUGUACGGGGCUUAAUUAAUAAAUAUGAACAAAGGAACCAAUCAUUCUUUUUGUGUGAUUAUAAAUAGGAACAAAGGAACCAAUGUAUUGAUAAGCUAGUUUUUUAAAUUGCGUCCUUAUUUGAAGUGUUUUUGUAUUACGUAUAGCACAAACAUCACGGCAUUAAAUUUAUGAUUAAAGAAUAAAAAAGAUGGCCACGAUAAUAAAUGAGGCCUUAACAUCGGGUGAUUGUUUCCAACUUAAAUUGCUAUAAUUAAUUAAUUAAUAUAUGACUUCACGCGAGGGUUGUAUUGUUUUCUCCGAUAAGACGAUUGGAAACUCAAGUUGCAAAAACAAAGAAGAGUGGUUAAGAUUAACUUUACAAGCUCCAUGGCUCUCGCUAGCUCGCGCGGGUUAAUUAGUAGAUCAGAGCACGUAGUGAAAUGUAACUCGAGGGAAAAAAAAAAAAAAAAGUGUAAGAAGAAUCUACAAUAUUAUUAAAAUUUUUACUCCUUAAGAUGAGAAUGUCAGCCAAAUGAUGUGCAUGCUAAGAACUCUCCCCAGCUUAAUUUUGCUAGAGGACUAUAUAAGUUAAAACUGAUUAGAAAAAAAAUUAAUUUUGAAAGGUUGGAUAGUAAAAUCAAAAUAAUUUAUAGUUUAAAUAAAUUUUAAACACUUUCUCCUUCUCGAUAUUUUGAUUGUUAAAUAUUAAUUUUUUAACUAUUCGAGCAAAAAAAAAAAAAAAACUUUAGCGAAAACUGGGUCAAAUAGAUGUUUAAAUUAAGUUUAUAGAAGGUUAUCGUACGUGAUGGGCACAAAGGAACAAACACUACAUUUGUGAGGGGCACCUUGCUCCUCGCGAACAUACCUUCCCAAAGUCCCAUGUCUUAAUGGGACCAAGACAUAGGGACAGGUUCGGGACCAUGUGCUCCCAUUGGGUCGCCCAAACACGACCCAAACUCUCGGGCUCGGGAUCCGGCUCGCCUUGGGCUCACCAAGGUUGCCUCCACUGUGCAAUAAAUCAAUUCCUUGAAAAAAGAUCACCAUUAAUUAAAAAAAAAAACAUUCUAUUUUAAUAGGAUUCCCACCACUAUUUCAUAGGACUCUCACUUCAUCUCAACAUUCUAUUUUUUCCUGACAAAAAAUAAUUUUACGUUUAGUGUACUCUUAUUAAUUAGUAUAGUAGCUAUGUACUCAGUAAAUUUUUAGCCAUUAGUUUUGUUUUAAAAUAUGUAAAAAUUUAAUAGCUAAUCCACCCAAAUUAACCCUUCUUAAUUAAUUCCUUCAUCCCAACUAAUCUAUCAAUUAACUCUCAUUAACCAACCCUCCUCCCAGUUAAUUACUGGUACGGCACCAGGCACUGGGCACCACAGCACCACAGAACUUCCAUAGGAUGAAAAAUAUAUAUGUUCAUUGGAAAUCCCCUCAUUAUGGAAUAAGAUGCUAUGUACUCGUAAAUUUUUAGCCAUUAGUUUUGUUUUAAAAUACGUAAAGAUUUGAUAGUUAAUCCACCCAAAUUAACCCUUCUUAAUUAAUUCCUUCUUCCCAACUAAUCUGUCAAUUAACUCUCAUUAACCAACCCUCCUUCGGUCCUUCCAGUUAAUUACUGGUACGGCAGCAGAGACAGGGCACCACAGCACCACAGAACUUCCAUAGGGUGAAAAUUUUGUUCAUUGGAAAUCCCUUUAUAUGGAAUAAGAUUUAUUUAUUUUUUUUUUUUUUUUUUUUGGAGAUAGGUUGCAUGCUAUCUCCACUUCGUUUAUUUUAUUUAGAAAUAAACUUAGCUGGAAAUAUGAAUCAACUAGGAUUUGAAUUUGGGACCUCGGAUAUCAGCCGCCAAAUCCUUGGCCACUUGCGCUAGGGGUGGUUAGUUAUUUCACAGUUAUUAAUGCUUAUUUUUGUUAGAUUGCUGAUUAUUUGAACAAUAUUCAAGACAUAUAUUCGGCCAACUCAUGCACAUAGGCACCCACUAUUUACAAACUAAAUUUUAUAAUUUUUUAAUAUAAUUUGUCAAAUAAUCAAAGGGUCACAAAAAUAACUAUUUUCAUGGUUGAUAUAGUACAUUUGUAAGUUCAACGGUGUAAAAUAAUCUAAAUUAAAAAAAAAUUUAAUAGAAAAUUUAAUUUAUCAUCCAGAGCGAGAUCAUCUCUUCCCAUAGGAAAUAUUCUAGCACUAUUUUUUAUAACAUUUUUACUUUCAACCUUUCAUUUUAGAUUAUUUGUUCGCUAGACAAAUAAAAACAAAAUAUUAUGAAUUAAAUUUUUAGAUAGAGCUGAUCGUCACAUCAGAUAUUUUAUUAUCGAAAAUAAUUUAAAAGUACAGAGACAUAUUUUUGAAAGAAUAGUAGUUUAGCGCUCUAUGUGUGUGUGUAUCAAAAAAUAUAUAUACAUAAGAGGGUCAUUUGGGAUUUGGGUGACGACUUGAGAUGCACCUGGAAUAGGUGGAUGUUAAGGAAAGCCUAUUCGAAUAAGAUUGACCCAGCCAACAAGGCUCAGCGACGGCGCAAAUAAUCACCAAGUACCGUCGGAAGAAUUCCGAACCGAAAUCGCAUUCUAUCGGCGGAUUUUGCCGAGAAACGCAUCGGAAAUCACUUUUCGAUUUCUGCAAGGGUUUGGGGCCUUGGACAAUCAGUCCAGAGGUUAUCCUCAGCCCAAACAUGCUGUCGACAGCAGCUACCUCGAAGCAAAGAGCAUAAAAGCCCUUACCGAUACAUAAAAUCACAUCAUUUUAUAUGAUUUCUGAACUUUUAUGGGCCGUGCACGCAAACCAGAGGUCGAUUGAUCAGACCGUCGCACUCGCUGCUAGAUUUCAGUAUGUUGGAGGCCGUGCUCACCUUUUGGAGCGCUGCCGGCCACUGUGGCACGCGCACGAGCUACGCGAAAACCUGUGAAACAGCGCUCACAGCGCCAAGAUCGCAAUUAACUCGUUAACCAGGGCAUCCUUGCCCCUGCCGGAGGUGAGCGCGAUGUUCAGCACGAACCCCAGAUCAUCGUGCUUACUUCCCGGGGUGUCGGGGAGUCAUCGGAUCACCGGAAAGGUGGCCGGAAAGCUAAACUACUAUGCUGGAACAUAAAAACAGCAUACCGGAGCCUAAAAACAGCAUACCGGAGCAAUGGGAGUUAGGGUUGGCCUCUGUGGACCUUGGGUUCAGGCAACACAUCGACUCUCUUGUCAUGUAUUUCGAUCUGGUUGAUCGUAGUUUGGCGUUGUACACCCUUGUUUCUGCCUUCGGCCUUGGCACCGGCUUUAGCCGGAUUUCGUUUGAGCAUAUCAGCAUGAUUUAGUCACAGCACUGUGUAUUCUAGACACCAGGUUGGUUUGGCCACCAACAAGAGGUGUACGUAUCCGGAUAGGUCGUCGGUGACGCAUGAGUAAGCUCUCAGUGUCUGCUCUGUGACAGGCAACGCUUGAGGUCUGUGGACCAAUAUAGCAGCAUCAGAUUGGGUAUAUUUGGACUUAUCGUCUGGUUGACGCAUAUAACUAUAGUAGCAGUUGUCGCUUGUAUAUCUUCAGCUCUUUUGUUACAUUGUCUUGCUACUAUAGUCUUGUUAUAUGUAUACAUUCAGUUGUUUAUUACAGUAGCGGUAGUUGUAGUUUCUUUCAUACACAUGCCUCUUUUAUUCAUUAUUACUGCUACUGUAUUUUCUACUGACCCGUACUGUUGUUUAGCUCUUCCUGAUCCGGUGAGUACUACUCGCCUUCAUCAGUUUGCGGUACCUACUGGGAGGGGAGACAUGUUUACAUGUUCUCACCUUCCCCACUAUUUUUCAGGUAUCGCGGGCGGUGAGGGUUGAGACGAGACGUGAGAUACGUACAUAGCAGUCGAUAGAGCUUCCAACCCAAGUUAUUCGGUUUAGUUUCUACCCUUACUAUCCUGUUAAUAUAGCUUAGAUAGUUCAUAUGGUUCAGUUUUUGGGCAUUUCAGUUAACUAUCAUAUUUUGAUUUGGCUUUAAGAAUGUAAUAAAAAUGAUUCGUGGUUUUCGUAAAUAAAAGAUUUUCUACCACUCGUGAUAGCAUUUUUAAAGAAUAAAGAUUUCCGUGUAGGAAACAGUUUUUAAAAAAAAAUUAUGUGGAUUUAUGUUUAAAUAUUGAAUGUAUAACUGUGAUGUGAAUGGUGAAUGAAUGAUUGCAUAGUUGUUUCUAUAUUCAUUUGGUUGUGGUUGUACCUGGGUUACUUCUUGUACUUGUGCGACGCCGUGCAAAUACAGGGGAGACUCUGUCCGUGUGAACAGUAGAUUUUCUGUAUUUGUGGCGGAUCUGGCAUUUUCUGGGGUUAGGUUUUCAAAAAAAAAAAAAAAAUUCGCUGUGUUUUUAACUUAAAGGGACCUUGGGGCGUGACAGAUUAAAGUGGUGUCAUAUAAAUUUAAGGAAUAUUGCUAUUUUUAGAAUUAUUUAU